rnacentral:lncRNA from 1 species
UGCAUGUGUGUAUUCGUAGUAGUGAGUGUGCAUGCAUGUAUAUGAGCGUCUUCCUCUGAUUUUGUUGAAAAAAGAACUAGUGAACACUAAAAGUGUUUGAACUCACAUCUUAUGAAGAUAGGAUUCCAUUUAGGUCAUAUCACUACAAGAAUUUUCAUUAUUACUGACGGUUCUUUCAAGUGGUCUACAGUGUCUAGAAUCUAAGUUGCACUACAAGGUUUUGUCACUAACGCAACGGCACAAAAUCGUUGCAAUAGGGGUUAUUUCGUUGCAAUAGGGGUCUAUUGCAACGAUUUCGUGUCGUGGCGCUAAAAAUCAUGUCAUCGUGUAAAAUGGUGUUGCAAUAUGCUAUUACAGCGACACAGGAAGCCGUCGUGUGUCAUCGCAAUAAGUGGCUAUUACAACGCCCAUUGUCAUUGCAAUAGUGGCUAUUGCAACAGUAGGCGUCGUUGCUAUAGUGGCUAUUGCAACGACAUUGCGCUGUUGCAAACAAGCGUUAAUGCAAUGCAAGAAUGUUGUUGCAAUACGAGACCUAUGCUGUUGCAAUAUACUAACAGGCUAUCUCAACGAAAUACUAGUCAUGGCUAUAUGCGUCAACCAUAUCCCAACGAAAUAUGGAUUGUUGCUAUAUGCUCAACGGAUAUCGCAACGAUGAGAAAGCGUCGUAAUAUGCGUACAAGGUAUCGCAACGAUGUACGUGCCGUCAUUAUAUGCUUCAACCAUAUCGCAAUGGAAUAUGUCUGGUGGUUAUAUGCGUACAGGAUAUUGCAACACAAUACGGGUCGUGGUUAUAUGCUCAAUGGAUAUAGCAACGACGUGAAAUCGUCGUUAUAUGCCCAUAUAUCACAAUCAUCAUUUCACCCAGAAUACAUAUAAUAUUAUAUGAACCCAUCAACUAAAAAUAACAGCCAGGUACAUUCAAAAAUAGUUUGACUCCUAUCCAAAAUAACCAAUCAAUGUCACUGAAAUAGUAUAUGAGAACUAAUAAAAUGGUCCGAAAUCAUAUAUAAAUCUAAUCGAUUUCUGUCAAACAAUGUGCUAGCAACACUGUGCACAGGCAUACACCAGUGCCUUCAGGUUCAUAAACACGCUCUUCAGUAGUCAAGGAGUGGACCAUCAUUGACACUGCCCUAUUCGUCCUCAGCUCUGGUUCCAGAUUUACCUGCAUAAACUGAAAGACUUCAUUUUCUUAGUAGGCAGGACUAUAGCAAAAUGUACCUUAGAUACACAUACACACAUAAGAAUAAUAUUCUGAGGUAUACAUUUUUAGUUUUUUUUCAAGACAAGAAAGAAACAGUCACAAUUUAACUACAACAAAGUAUUGCUGCUACAGUUGAAAAGAUGUUCAGAAGAAUAUCAAAGAUGUAUACAUUCAGGAAAAUGUUGGUUUGGUAUAUCUAAAUUUAGCUGCUUCAUUGACAAUCUGCAACAAAAGUUGUAUGAAUUAGGUUAUGAAACAAAAAUAUGCUCAAAGCACAAAGCACCUGACAGGGAUAAUUCAAACUGUUAAGAAGUAUAUACUGUUGUUAAUGUAACACCCCAGGAAAACUAACACCACCUUAGGAUGCUACUAAGCCACACUAGACGGAAGGGAAAUAUUUUGACAGCAUCUCCCCUAAAACAGGAACAUCGUGGAAGCAACAAACAAAAAGAUAUGAAAAAAAAAUAAAGCACACUAGCAUAAAUGAAAGAUCCUAACAUGAUGUCCAAAUGAUUAAAGGUAAGGUUUAACAAAUCUUAGCCAUCAUUAAGCAACAAAUAAACUCUCAUAGAGAAGGACUUAAAUAUUACAGUAUCAUGCUAUUAAGCGACAUAACUCCAUAUGCCAUGCAUUGUGAUGCAAUGAAAUGCAAUGCCAAGACAGAUCACAUGGAAAGAGUAUACAUCGCAUGCACUAGAUAAGUCUCUCCUCAUUUGACAACAUAAACCUCAUCCUAAUUAUGCCAACAAGAGCCAUUACCAAGUUAUAAAGUAAAGAACAAGGCAUAUGUAAUAACAACAGUAAGAUGUGCAUAAACUUGUAAUUGAAUGGAUUAUAUUGGAUAAGUUAUCAUUCUAAAAUUUAAGGUGGAGGUAGAAAACCAUGUGCACAUAGCAAGUAAAUCACUCAUUAGCUCAACCCGUCAAACAAGCAACAAUGGUGAACAUCGCCUAGGCUAACCGCAGCAGCUUUGCUUCACUUUUUGGUAUCUUUAAAAUUAUAAAAGAUAUGACAGCAAGCAAAUACACCUUAGAAAACUAAGGGAGAAAUCAUACAACUUUGUUCAGAUCCUUUAUUUUUAGCAUAAUCCAAAGAGGGGUAAAACUGCAGUUGAAUGUGAAGUACAGAAUCUGUCUAAAAUUUCGGGCAGCAGCAUAAAAAACUUUAUAUCUCCCAAACCCCUUGUCCAAAAAUUCUAAAAUUUUGUUAGGAUAUACAUCUCUGAGAAACCUACAACUUUGUUAUUAUAGGUUUCCACGAAUUCCAUCCUUAAGAUCAUCUAAUACAUCUCUGAACAUCUGCUGUCAACCAUCUGGACAUUCAGAAACAGCGUCCAAACAAUAUUCCAUAACCAAAAGUAUACUCCACAAAAACAUGCGAAACUUUCACAGCAGUUAGAUCUCAUAAUCUUCCACAACUUUUGUACGAUCCACGUUUGGAGGAAAAAUUGUUUAGAUUGCCAAAACUACAAGGACAGCAGCACUGCCCGAGCUACAGGACAACACACCUUAGAUCGACCUUCAAACCGUGUUUUCCCCAACAAAUCCACUAAUACUUAGGACCAAGAACCUUCUAAAAACAUCAAUUAGCAGAUCUAAAGUGGAUUCACCUCACCUUGGUCGUUUCCCAAACCCUAGGGCAGCAGGAAGAUAUGGGGAAAGGACCGAUCUACAUGGAAGAUGCACCUUUCUUGCUCCUCUUGUUGUCCUCGAUCCGUUUUUCUAGUUCCCCGCAAGGGUUUGCUGCUGUAGAGGGGAUUUAGGGAAGGAAAACCAUGGGAGAGCAGGGGAGGAGGAAGAAACGUGAGAAGGAAGAGAGGACCGGUCUGGAUGAGAUGGGCGGGCGCGUGAGAGAAGGAGGGGGGCUGCGGCUGGAGGUGGAGGUGUGUGAGAGGAGAGUUAGGGUUUGUGGGGUGGUCAGCUGAUUUUAUAUCGUAUGAGUGCGAUUAGAACCAUCGUAUCGACGAUAGACGACCAGAAAUAGUUGGGCCAUUUGGGCCAAAAUGGGCUUGAUUCAUUCCUUCUCUGCUUAAUAUGUUUCUUUUUCUUUUUCAUUUUAUUACACCGUCAUAAAGUAACACACAAAGAAAAUUAUCUUAAAUACACUACUAUAUUUUUAAAAUGUAAUAAACAACAUCUAAGUUGUCAUGUAGGAGUUUUAUUAAUUUUUUAAUAGAAUUACUAUUUUCUAUCAUUUAAAUGAAUUUCUACACGCUUAUCGAAAAUAAUUCCAAGUUGAACUAUGUGUACCUCCAAUAAGAUUCAAAAAAAUGCAAAAAAAUUACAUUUAGACUUCUAUGUUCAAUUCUAUCCCAUGUCUUGGAGAUAGAAGAAAACAUCAAUUGUCUUCUAGGGACAAUUCAAACUUCUAUCUCCAAAUUACUACAUAAUAAUUACAAUAAUAUCUAAAUUUGUUCAGAAAAUUCUACAAAUCUACAUGUCAACAUAUUUUGGGUCUAUAAGCUUGACAUAAAACUCUCAUAAGAUUUCACAAAAAUUAGAGUGUACGUUGUUCAUAAAAUGGAUAGACCUCUCACAUUGUUUCACACAAUUCAAGUCAAAUUUUAUGAUUUGAAUACCUCAUAACAUGUUCGAACUUGUAUGCACAUCAAAAUUGAACACAACCUUAUGAUAACCAUAACAUUGGAAAAUAUCAAGUAACAUUAGCAAUUGUUAUGCAAAAACAUGUUUUUUCUAUUCUCUAUUUAGUUGGAAGAAAACAUGUCAAAUAAAAAAAUUCAAGAAAUAGCAAUUAACAUACAAAUAAACGCCACUAAAGAAAAUAUGGCGAUUUUAGAAAAAAUUAGAAAAAACCUCAUCAAAUUUGGAUAAUGUAUGAUGGAUAAAUGCCAGCUACAAAUUUUGAUUCUAGAUUAAAAAGAGAAAGAUCAACUAUUUAUGUGUUCUUUAAUCCAAAUCAGUUGAUCAGUAUUGUAUUGUAUAAGAGCUCUUGUGCUAUGUCAAAGCCCAUCUGAGCUAGUAGCCCAAUGACAAGGUAUGUGUGGUUUGUGUUUGAGGUCAUCGGUUCAAUUCCCUUGACCCUCACUAUUUUUUUUGCCCUAUUUAUGUGGCCUGGCUGCUUGCUGGUCCGGCGCAGGGAGGAAGCGGGCUGAGCGAGAAUGGCGCAGGCGACGGAAGUGGGCCGAGCGGAGCUGGCUUCUCGCUGCUGGGCCGAGAGAGGUUUGUUAAGUAGAAAUAAUGCAACUCUCUAGCACGAAUGUUCAAGUGGUGUGGUGGUAAUGCUAGUACUGCUUAAGACCCCUGGUGCGCUAGGUUUGUAUCCUGUGUGUAGCAUUUUGUACUUUCUUUUUUGCAUUUUCUCUACGAGAGCAGUUCUAUAUAAAAUGAUGAAAUACAAAUAGUACCAAGAAUAAAGGUUUGGCGUAGUGGUAAUGCUUGCGUUUGGGAGCCUAAAGACUUGGGUUUAAUUCCCCAUAGUAUAGAUCUGGGCCAUAGAAUAAAGGUUCUUUUUUUUUCUGGAUCAAUGGGAGCUUAUUUUUCUAUUUUUUAACUAACUAAUUAAUACACGCUUGUGAAGUAACUUUUAAAAUAAUUAUGUUAUAUACCCCAAAGUAUAGAUCUGGGCCAUCUUUUUUUUGUUUGUCCGCGCGGCCUUUACGGCCUAUCUCUUCCUGACCAUCGGAUCCUCGAUCUGACUGAUCGGAUCGCAUCCACAUGAAACAAAAGUCAAACGGAUCCCCUGAAACCCUAGCUCCUAUUCGUUCGCUACCGUGGCAGCCGCACCGCCGCCCGCCUGCGCGUUCUAGUCUUAUCCUUACAGCGGCACCUCUUGCCUCCCUUCCACAGGCCCUGCACCUCCCGCCGCCGCGCCAUCCUGGCCUCGCUGGCCCCCAAAUCGAGCGUGGGAGGCGUGGCCAUGGGCGGCGGAGGCCCCUUUUCCCGGGUCAAGUGGCACGGCAGCCGGGGCACGGCACAGCCCUGAGGAGCGGUGACUAGGCCAGUGUGGCCCGAAUCCGGAGCAUAUCAGAGCAGCACAGCGCAAAUCUGGAGGCGCGGCGGCCGGGGCUGCACUGAUCCAGAGGUGCGACGGUCGGGGCUGUGCGGCCAUGACGACAGACGUGCCUUCGCCUCCGCUCACGAAGUAAACUUUGCAACUCCAAAUUACACAAAGAAAAUAUCUUUGUCUUCUCCAGGUAUAUUGACUGGAGCAACAACUCCAUCACCAAUGUAGGCGUCAUCAGAAUUAUCUUCAUCUUCUGGUAUUUCUGCAAGUCUAUGAGUUCAUUCUCAAUGUACUGGCUCUUGAACUACUCUCGAAGCUAGAUCCUCACCCCUCCGACUACUUCUGUAUGGUCCAUCCGAGGUUGGCGCUUCACUUUAAAGAACUUCCUAAAUAACUGGAAGUGGGACUGAAUACCUAGGAAGGCCUCGCAGAGGUGCAUGAAGAUAGCAACGUGCAAAAUAGAAUUAGGGUUGAGGUGGACUAGCUCGAGAUUAUAGUACCUUAGUAACCCCAGAAGAAGUCGGAUGACAGCAGAGCUAGCCCGCGCUCAACGAACUGCGCGAAAAUGACUGUCUCAUCCGGGUAGCUCUCUGGAGGCCACGGAUUGCUGACUACUUCCCUCCAAUCAGCAAACUCCUUCUCCUGGAGCAGAAUCGCAUUCACUAGUACUUGGACGUCUGCCUCUUUCAAGAUGGAUUUCUUCCCGGCACAGGCUUGAGUCGGCGGUGCCGUCUUGUCGUUCUUCCCGUACUUGGGCGCCAGCAGUGAGAUCUCCUUCUCCUUCUUGGCGACCUUGCACUUCUUGGUGUUCGCCGCUUUGCUUGAGGAUGCUUCUUCUGGCGCAUGAGCUGGAGGGCUAAACAGUUGGGGGGCGAGGGUGGUGGUGCUCGGGAAUGACGAGCGGCAGUGCUUGGGCAAUAGUGCUCGGGGAUGGCAAGUGGCAGUGCUAGGGCAACAGUGAGAAGAUGUGCGGGCGCACUAGCUCGGGCAAAUGGAAGGGAUAAGUUCCUCUGAUAUUUAAAAUCGCGGCACAGUCAACCGAGCAGCGAGAAUAACGGGGAAUAUUCCAUUUUUAAAGCCCAUGGCUAUCGCUGGAACAGUUACUGUCACACCCGGUUUUAAGGACAAAACCAAGUGCUACCUAUUUAUAUGCUAGGAUCAAAUUUCAUACAUAUAGUGACAUCAUUAGUGAAUAACAGCAACAGUAUCACGUAAAAAGAUACAAAUAAAGACUUACAAAACCAUCAGAGAUUACAGCUUUAUUCUGGAAACGGAGGCUCCAAACUUCACAGGCAAUCAACUAGGGGCUGCAUACGCCUAGAACUCAGCAUCAUCUUCGAAAAACUUCUCACCUUCUUCUUCUGAGCAGCAGUAAGCAAGGGUGAGUACACUUAUGGUUGGUACUCAGCAAGACCACAAGGAACAACCAGAAUUAACAAUUUAAGUCCAUCUUUACGUUUAAUUAAUCAUGUGAGGGUCUAGGCCACUCGUAACCAUGAGCACGGCUAAUAUAUCAGUUUUACACUCUGCAGAGGUCACACAUCUUUACCCACAAGUCGCGUAAAAGUUCAGGAGAGCUUUAGACCUAACCAUGCUAUGCAAAGAUUCCCUAAUAAGUAAUAACCCGCUAAGGUUUCCGCAUAAGGGGAUGAACCCUCCCCCAAGUGGUGCGAACACCCCUUGGUUAGACAAGCUAUCGCACAACCUAUGAGCCCCUCUUGCCCUUUCAGCAUGACUAUCAAAAACUAGAGUCUCUAAUUAAUUAGCCAAGACCAGAGCCAUUUAAUCUUAUGGUUGUACUGUUUUCCUGGGUGGUCGCUCCAUGUUCCAAUUAACAUUAUCAUGAUAUUGUGAACAAAGCAUAAGUAGAAGGAUGGUUAGGGACACUUGUCUUUCUCCAAGAAAAAGUUACUCUUACUGCUCUUCAGAUCUUGUUUUCUUGAAACUCUUAAUCUUCAAAUCUUGCGAACAGCGAUCAUUCUACUUGAAGCAAUCAUCGGCACAAACAUACAAGCAAGCAAACAAAUACAACUAAGAACAAUACACCAAAACAAGAGAAAGGCUUUAAAAGAGCGUAUUAAAGGAUAGGACUUGAUUCUAGGAUUUCACGAACGUAGGAAAUGCUUGAAACGGAACUAUGGUUGAAAAGAUAAAGCUAUUGAGUGAUUUGAAUUACAAAAGAAAAGACAAGAGCUACAUGCUGCAUAUGUUUUAGUUGAGAAAAACAAUGUAAAGAUAUUUCAGAGAAAUAUCCUUAGUUAGUAUUAAUCAAGUCAUAUUUAUAUUUUCAUAAGAAAAGAUGACGUAAAACUUAGUCCAAUUUUAUUUAUAAAUAUUUAAGUACAAUUUAUGCAAAUUAAACAUUUAAUUUGGAAAUAAAGUAUAUGUAAACAUAUAAGCGCAUAACUUUAUAUUUCGAGGUCAACUAGGAGAUUAUAUUAAAAACACAUUUAUAUUCAGAUUAGUUGAAUUAACAUUUAAUUUUUGAAAACUCGAGAUAUAACCUAUGUAGCCUUUAUUUAGAAAGCAAAUUGAAUAGAUAUUAAUCAAAUUGAAUUUAAUUUAUGAAAAGCCGAGGUAUCUCUCUAAUUAGCUUUUAAAUGUAAGAACUAUUUAGAUAAGCAUUAAUCAAAUUGAUGUUUAUCAUGAAAAGCGGUGCAUAACUCCAAGUAGCUUUUAUUUAGCGAAGACACAUGUUUAUCAGGUAUUAAUCAAAUUAAUAUCAAAUUUAUUUUCAAAAUCAUUCAUGAAGAAAAACAUUACCACUAACGUGUAUUUUAUGUUAACCUGAACCUGACGCAACUUGAACAAGGUUAAAGGGAGUUAAAACGUGGAAUCUAUGAGCUAAACAAGAUUGUAGGGACCUAUUUGCGGUUAACCGUAGUCUAUAGGGUCUAGCAAGAAAGAUACCUUAGACUCAGUGAAUAGUGCUCGUGAAAAGCUGGAACCUUAGGGUCAUGGCAGGUCGGACGAAGCGGGUCGUCCCACGGGCUUGGCCCAGAAGGAUAGGAUGUAUUUUCCCGUGAACGGAAAAUCCAGAAAGUCCAGAUAAUUCACGAAAAAUACUCCAAAAUUCCAAGAAAAAUCCUGGAGAUAGAUUGGGACACGAUCAAUCCAAAUAAAAUACUUGGAGCUCAUGCAAAGGAUUUUAGAGCCGUCCAAAAAUUGGAGUUAGCUCUAGGAAAAGGAGAAUAAUUUUCAGAAAAAAGAUGGAAAAUUCUCAGAAGGGUCUGAACAACGCCUAAACACAUUUUUAAAACUUUUGCAAUCCUGAAACACCAAGAUGCAUCAGCAUGAAUGCACAAACACAGAACAACAUUAUUUAAUUUAGAAAAGCAAACAAUUAUUUUUCCUACACUAAAUUUCGUGUAAAGAAAAAAAAUGUUGGGAAAAAUUUAAAAUUAUGAGAAAAUCAUUAUUUAAUUAUUCUUUUAAUUCACAUCCUGAAAUUCGAAAAUUUCAGGGUGUGACAGUUACCAAUUUUCUCGGAAGAGAUAAGAUUUCUGAAGGCGAAGCGUCAUGUUGCCUAGUUGUUGAUCCUUGUACCCAAACUAGUCAUGUAACGGCUCGGGGCCUGUGUGCCACGUGCCCGUUGGACAAAAAGUUUUUUCUUUGGGUUUUUAAGGGGAAAAAGAUGUGAAAUUACAAGAUUGACCCUCAGUCUAAUUCUUUGAUUCAACUUAAGGCUCGGGGGCUUUCAUCGCACUUCCAUGGUUCAAGACUAAGUUAAAUGAGGCUUGAGCACCUUCUAGCCGCAAGGUAGUACUCGAGCACAUUCGAAGACUCAAUCUGAUGGAGUACUCAAAAGAACACCACAAACUAGUUAGAGACGUCUACAGAAGUACUUGGGACUGCUGCAUUUGACUAAAAAGUACUCAGUGGCUUGUUAGCCAUACAUCUAUGGGCCCACCAGCAGGUUUGGAUGGUCCUACAUAUAGGGCUGUACACCGAGACGUGUCAGACACGGAGACUAUAGUGCAGGACGGCGUGGUCUGCGUGGAGGACAAGGACUAGUCGAGGAGUAGGAAACUACUCGUAGCGAUUAGAGUAGGACUCUCUAGUCGAAUUCGACUAAAACUCUUGUAAAGCAACCGACCUGUAACCUUGCCCCCGACAAUAUAAGGCGAGGUAGGGACCCCCUCCAAACAUCAUUAAUCAAUACAAUCCAAUCAACACAUAGGACAUAGGGUAUUACGCGACAUAAGUGGCCUGAACCUGUCUAAAUCAUGUGUUUGAGUUCACCUUCGAGUUCCUGAUCUUCGACGAGCCCCACGCAUAAAACACUACCUCGCAUACCCCUCGGUAGGUUGCUAGGUCUAAACAUGGACACUUAUGUUUACAAUAAAUUUUUCAAAUCUCGAUCUUGCUUCGCAUUUGGGAAAGCAAAUGACCUUAAAUAAGCACUUGUUGGGAGGUUGCCUGGAUUUCACAUCCAUGCAGGAACAUGAGAUCCAAAUGGAGAAGUCAUGCCCCAAAAGUUGCAAGUUGGAUCAUCAGCAUGUCAGGUUCAACGUUACCAUUGUGAUCAAUUUUCUACCCAUGAUCAGAGAUGUACAAUAGGAGAAAAUUAGAUAUUCAGAAGUUCCAUCAAGUCUUCUUUCCAACACAUCAAGAAUCACUAAUUUAUUACAUCAGUACGCAGUGUUAUGAUUAAAUCUUUCAACACUGUGCGUUCUAAAAUCAACUCAAGACAAAACGCAGUGCUGGAAUAAAACAGACGUAACUCUCUCAUCCGGAGUCUGUUUUGGGUGAAUGACUACUUGUUGGAAAGAUAAUUUGAUGAACUUAGCAAUGGAGCAGAGUUUUGGUAAGUUCUGGACGCAGCGGAAAUCGAUGAAGAAGAGGCAACAACGAAGAACGAUGAAGAAGGAGAUGAUGAUGUGAGAGAAAUUAGCUUGGGCAAGUUUUCUAUUGAGCCUAAAUGAUCAUAUACAGUAUAGGAAGUGAAUAAAAGCUGCAUGGAUUCCUUUAACUCUUACAUAAAGGAUCAUGGCUUUGCGACAAAAAUAAGGUAUUUGAGAAAGUCGAGCUCUAUGACUAUAAAAGAAGCGCUUUUCGGGAGGCAUCCCAUUCAUUGAGUUUUUGUUUCUUUUAGAUAAUAAAAUGCAUGGCACCACCUUAUGAUGAUUAACUUGUGGCUAGUUAUUCUAGGUUUGUUUUGUCUUUAGACCACCAUCAUGUUCAUGUUCAUAUUUAUUUUUUUUGCGUGAAUUGCAUUUUGCCAUCAUCAUGAUGUGUGCAUUCUAAAGUUCUCUUGCAGCUUCUUUGCAUUCUAGUCAUGCGUUGCAUAUUGUUGGCUUGGUUGUUAUAUGUGUUUUAUGAUGAAUUCUUUCAUAUCCAUGUUAGUGCUUCAAUUGGGCAUGUAAACAUGGUGUUUAAAAUUGAUUGCAGGCCAUCAUCACUCAGUUCUAUAAACCUCGCUAGCUAUCCAUCUUGUUUACAUGUUGCUUUGGUUGGUUUAUAAGUUUUGCAAUGCGCUUUGUUUUUCUUGUGCUAUAAAGAAUUAUUGAUCUUGGGAUAGACAUGGUGUUUUGAUAUUGGUUAAUUAAUCUCUAUGGUUAUGGAGAAAUUCAACAACCUAGUUGUAAACAUGGUGUUUAGAACUAGACGUGAACAUGGUCUUUGCUUAUAUGCUUCCCUCUCAUAUGCAUAUGCACCUUGCACUCAUGUACACCCAUUAGGUUUUUAUCUUUCUUUUCACUAGACUAAUUAUGCCACAAGUUAAGAAUCUUAGGAUGUGUCAUUGGUUUGUUGCCAAUUGUUUCUACUCCCAAUUAUCACCCUGGGAGUAGUAUGUGCACUUAAAUUUUUUUGCAGGCAUGAUGAAGAUGAUCUCAUGAUAAAAAGAUGAUAAAUAAGAGGGAUAUGAUUCGAUGGUAAUCAGAUUUGGAGGCAACAAAAUUCGAAGCACCGUGGCACCACCAAUAUUCUCCUGCGAGAUGUUCAUGAGUGAGUGGUGCUCCCUAGGAAGAAGGCAAUCCAAAUCAUCAACACGAAGCACACAAGCCUACUAUGAUCCCAUCACCUCAGUAAAAUCAAGAAUUAUGGAGAAGAACUAUCAUUGCCACCAUGUUAGUUGUUUGUGCAGCAACGGUGAUGACCUUGAAGCCAAAGGAUGCACAACAUGGUGCCCUAAAGACCACAAGAUCAAGAUUAUCAACAUCCAGAGAGACAUACUCGUAGCUAUUGUUAUCAUCAAAAUUUUGCAUCACCUCAGAGGAAAACACAAAAUAUUUUUGGAUAUUUAGAAUCCAUAUGAAGUUUUCUUUCCAACGAAUCAAGUGGCAAGGCAUUGGGAUGUUAUUACAAGCGGUUAUGGCCAAAUCAUUGAACAACGCACGUCCUGAAAUCAGUUAUGGACAGCGCGCUGUGCUGAAGUUAAACGGGCAUAACUCUCUCAUAUGAACUCCAUUUUUUUAUGAAUGACCACUCAUUGGAAAGGUAAUUUCAUACACAUUUCAAUAGAUCUAUACUUUGGUAUAUGUUCUUCUCUGGACGUAGGGGAAAAUCCAUGAACAAAGGUGCUUGCAAGAUAAUGAUAGCUGAACAAAGGAGAUGAAGAUGACGACAAUGAGGAGAAGCUUGGGCGAUGCUUCCAUUGAGCUUACAUGAUGAAAUUUGGAUCUUAGGACGGAAUCACACCCUCGAGAGCAUUGUCACAUGGAAACACAGAGAUGUUAGAGGGGAACCACGAUGGAAUAUAAAAGACAGCAUCAAGCUGAUGAUCACAAGAUGCUCUAUCUUCUUCUCCAUGCUUAGCGCACUGCUAAGCAUGGGGGAGCGCUUGCUGGAUAAAGAUGAAAAUGACACGUGGAGUAUGAGGAUUAUUACUGCAAAAACAUGGUCAUUGUUCUUCUUCCAUGCUAAGCAUGACGCUUAAGCAUGGGGGAGGCUUCGCUACACUUCAUCAUCAACAGGAUGGUAAAUUUUUCUUGCACAUUCUCUUUUCCAUCUCUUUCUAAAUGCCUAUUUAUAAAAGCCUUCAACCUUCAACUCGGUGCAUCAUUUGUGUGAUAAUAACAUGACUACUAGGAGGACAACCUCAAUUUGUUUUUAUUUUCAAUAGAUAGGCAUGACCAUGUGCUCACCUCAAUGUUUUAUAUUGCCUUUGCUUAUGGAAAAAAGAUAAAAGUUGCCGCUUUGUUUUACCUACACUAUGUUGUAUAUGCCUUGACUGAUUGCUCUCUAUAAAAUGAUUUUAAAUUGAAUAAAUAACGAUGCUUUUAAUUGAUGUAGAUGAUGAAGAACCUCCAUCACAAGCUAUUGAGAAGCUGGCCACAGGAGAAAUAAAGCCUCAAGAGAAGAAAGAUGACUGUGACACAAGUAAUGGGCCACAAAUUGCAAGAUCCACUGCAAGCUCUGGAGAUUCCAAAGAAACUUGCAGAAAUUUUGCAAGUUCCAGAAAUUCUGAACAAAUCUCUGAAAAUUCUAGAGAUGAUGAUGAUGAUGAUGAUUCGAUCCAACAUCAAGCUCCAAACCCACAUCCAAGAGUUCAUCAGAUUGUUCAACGUGAUCAUCUCGUGGAUAACAUCCUAGGGAGCAUCCAAAUAGGGGUAACUACUGGUUCUAGAUUGGCAAAUAUUUGUGAACAUUACUUGUUUGUUUCCUCUUAAGGUAGAUGAAAUAUUGGAUGAUCUGGAUUGGGUGUUGGCCAUGCAAGAAGAGUUGAACAACUUCACUCAGAAUGAAGUUUGGUCCUUAGUGGAAUGCCCCAAGCAAAAUGUUAUUGGAAUAAAAUGUGUGUUUCGCAACAAGCAAGAUGAGCACAACGUGGUGACAAGAAAAGGGGCUAGGUUGGUCGCUCAAGGAUUUACUCAAAUUGAGGGAUUGGAUUUUGGUGAAACCUAUGCACCGGUGGUAAGACUUGAAGCUAUCCAUAUAUUGCUAGCAUUUGCCACUCAUCAUGAUUUCAAGCUUGUUGGAUUUAGUGACCGACAGUCCAUCACAGGGUCACCUAGGUGGUAGAUUUGUAGGCGAGAGAGAUCGCAAGACCAAGAACUCGAAUGGUAACACAGAGAUGCAAGGUUUAGAUAGGUUCGAGCCUCCAGAGAGUAAUACCCUACGUUGUGUGUUCUGGUGGAUUGUAUUGCUGGUAUGGGACAUGAAGAGUUGAUGUUCAGUUGGGUUGAUUUGCGUUCAGGGGGUAUCCCUAGCCACCUUAUAUAGGCUGACGACCUAGGGUUACAAUCGGAUAGGAUUUAAUCCUAGUCGGUUGUUAAAUGGAAAGCAAUCUUAGUCGGACUACAACAAGUAUCCUGUAAUAUCCAGGUAGAAUCCGUUCUCCCGGCCUCUAAGCUUGUGCUCUACGUAUCUUCAUGCCUUGGCCUGCAUGGCAUGGUCGGGUGGACCCACCUGUCAGUACCGACCAGUAUCCUAGUCGAUAGGGACUCGUGUGUACCCUUAUCCCUUAAGCCCCUGAGCAAUGUGGAGUUGAACAGGAGCCUGAUAGAUAUGCAACAAAGCUUUUAAUGCACUUAGAUGAAGUUUCGAUGUCGUCAUAGUGAUGGAGAGGCUGUGUAGUGCUCAAAAAAGGAAGAAAAAUUGAAACUUCCACAGGCAUAUGACCAAAUGUGCAUGUCUAUGCGACUGCCGAGCUCCAGGAUGUCUGGCAUCCUGUAGAUCAAAGGGAAGCACAUGGAAGGCGUUGUAAGACACACUCCAUAUGGAGUAGCCCCCAAGCAUUCAAGCGAUUAAAGUAAUUGGUCCAAUGGUCAAGAAUCUGAUGUAUUGCUUCUGUCGUAAAAGGGAUCCAAAUAUAGUGCCCAGCCCCCGAGUGCAAGGACUGGUGGAGCCGCAGAGGCAUGCUGACCUGAAAUAGGUGCCUAGCCCCCGAGCACAAGGAUUGACGGAGCUGCGGAGGCACACCAACCUAAAGUAGGCACCCAGCCCCCGAGCGCGAGGACUAGCAGAGCCAAAGAUGCACACCGACCUGAAAUAGGCGUCCAGCCCUAGAGCACGAGGAUUGGCAGAGCCAUGGAGGCACAUUGACCUGAAAUAUGCAUCCAGCCCCCGAGCAUGAGGACUGGCAGAGCCAAGGAGGCACGCCAACCUGAAACAGGCAUCUAGCCCCCUGAGCGCAAGGACUGGCAGAGCCACAGAGGCACGCCAACCAAAAACAGGUGUGCAGCCCUCGAGCGCGAGGACUGGCAGAGCCAUGGAGGCACAUCCACCAGAAAUAGGCAUCCAACCCUCGAGCGUGAGGACUAGCGAAGCCACGGAGGCACGCCGACAAAAGUAAGGCGCCUAGCCAUUGAGCUUGGGAGUCGGCUGAGUCACGGAAGUACACCGAGGCACCUCCUACCUCGAGCCAGAGAGCUCGGCUGAGCAACAAGAGGCACGUUGAGUCGUCUAUGGCACCCAGCCCCCAAGCUUGGGAGUCAGCUGAGCCACGAAAGCAUGCCGAGUCACCUACCACCCCGAGCCAAAGAGGUCGGCUGGGCAACGGGAAGCACACCGAGUCGUCUGUAGUGCCCAGCCCCUGAGCCUGGGAGCUGGCUGAGCCACAUAAGCACGCCAAGCCACCUCCCGCGCCGAGCCAGAGAGGUCGGCCGGGCAACAGGAGGCACACCAAGUUGUGUGUAGCACCCAGCCCCCAAGCCUAGGAGCCGGCUGAGCCAUGGAAGCACGUCAAGUUGCCUCCCACCCUGAGCCAGAGAGGUCGGCUGGGCAACGGGAGGCAUGCCAAGUAGUCUCGGAGUUGUAAGAGGACAAUACAAAGAUUAUGUAGCAUAAUAUAGAGUAUUUAAUAAUUGAAUAACUCGGAGUUUUAUUUGGUGUAGAAGUAAAUUCUUGCGCAUCCUGCUCUUGUAGGCCAUGUAAUUUCCCUGAGUAGUUAGCUCGUUAUGUUUAAGCACCUGAACCUUCCGGGGUGUUGCCGAGAGCAGGCUUGAGCGUGCUUAGCACGAAGUGAUACAUGAGGGCCAGGCUUCACGGAUUAAGGCGUGUGCUACCCAAGUACUUUAGCAACCGUUAAGAGAGACGGACAAGCUACAAAGUAGUCGAAACUGUGCGGAAAAGCGAAUAGGACUUAGCUUGAUUCAUGGCCGAGUUGGAGAAUCAGUGUUGUGCCGGAGAGGGCAGCCGUCGAUGAACAGUUGUUGAUGAAGCUAGUCUCGAGUCGAAGUGGUGAUCGGCGGUGUUGGCUACGAGGGCAGCGGUGCGUGGCGCUGUAGUUGCGGCUGUCUCAUUAACGUUGCUACCGAGCGCAACGGACAUGCGUGCACUCCGACCCACGCGAUCCGUCGUUGAUGCUCGGCAAGUUGGCCACAGGGAAGACCAAGCAUGCAUCACGUUAGAUAAAUAACAGAUUAGAAUAAAUCUUGCCGACCAAAUAAACAAAACAACACUUAAGAUCGGAUAUAAAAAAAAUAACAGAAGGGAUAUGCCCCUGUUCACGUAUAUCCUUGUAGAUGGAUUUUUCUUGGCCGCAUGCAGCCGAACGUAAUGGACGCUGGUGGAGCAGGGAUGCAGGGGUACUGCUGCGCCCUUCGUGGCUUCAUGCGAUCGUCAAGCCGUUGUAGAUGGAAUCCUGGGCGGCUGCUUCGGCGUAGAUGAGCACAGCAGCAUCGGUGUUGCGGACUGCACACGACAAAUGUGUUUGCGACAAUGGCGCACGGCAGCUGCCCCGUCUUCCGCACAUAGUGACCGUCAUCCAAUGACGCACGACGCCGGGCGGCGCUCAGUAGGAGGGGGAUAGGCGGCAUGUACAGAUCAGAAAAAGAUCAAAAUACAUGAUUAGCUUGAUCUCUCGUAGUCGGUGGCGUGCACCCUCAUCCGCCGUAGAAUGCAGAUGUUGAUCCCACGAUUAGAUUGGAGGGUGGGUGUUGGUGGGCUUCAUGUUGUUGGGGAAGAUGACGCUAGGGUGAGAUGCCAUUGAGCUCGUUGGGGAGGAUCUCAUGAUCACCCCUACCUAGCACGUCAAUUGUUGGAUUUAAUGAUUGGUAAUCCACCAGGGAGUUACCCAGGUGGUAGAUUUGUAGGCAGUGGAGAUUGCAAUACCAAGAACUUGAAUGGUAACACAAAGAUGCAAGGUUUAGACAGAUUCGAGCCUUCGAAAAUUAAUACCCUACAUCUUGUGUUCUGCAGGAUUGUAUUGCUGAUAUGGGAUGUGAAGAGUUGAUGUUCAAUUGGGUUGAGUUGCAUUCAGGAGGUGUCCUUGGCCGCCAUAUAUAGGCUGGGGACCUAAAGUUACAAUCAGAUAGGAUUUAAUCCUAAUCGGUUGUUACAUGGAAAGCAAUCUGAGUCAGACUACAACAUGUAUCCCGCAAUAUCCGGGCAGAAUCCGUUCACCCAACCUCCGAGCUUGUGCUCCACAUAUCUUCAUACCUUAGCCCGCACGGUGUGGUCGGGCGAGCCCACCUGUCAGGACCGACCAGUAUCCUGGUCAGUGGGGACCUGUUGGUACCCUUAUCCCUCAGAGCUAUAUCAAAUAGCUAUCAAGAGUGCCUUCUUAAAUGGACCAAUCUCUGUAGUGGUAUAUGGUGAGCAACCACCGGGCUUUGAAGAUCCAAAGUUGCCCAACCACGUCUACCAGCUCCGUAAGGUGCUCUAUGGGCUCAAGCAAGCUCCUAUAGCAUGGUAUGAAUACCUUAAGGAUUUUCUCCUAAGGAAAGGCUUUGACAUAGGCAAAGCCGAUCCUACACUCUUCACUCACAAAAAGGAUAAUGAUCUAUUUGUAUGCCAAAUAUAUGUUGAUGACAUAUUAUUUGGUUCCACUAAUAAAGUGUUGUGUGAUGAGUUUAGUAGGAUUAUGAUAAAGAGAUUUGAGAUGUCCAUGAUGGGAAAGUUCUUUCUAGGUUUUCAAAUUAAGCAACUCAAAGGUGGCACCUUAAUAAGUCAAACCAAGUACACUCAAAAUAUGCUCAAGAAGUUUGACAUGGAGAAUGUGAUGAGGACAUCACUCCUUUAGAUACACAUGAACUCCUCCCAUUGUUCUGCAAGAACCAAUCACUAGAGCACGAGCUAGACAAUUGAAUCAACAGAUGAGCUCGUUUUUAUGUACUUCUUUUAGUAAUUUUGAGAAUGGGUUGCUAACUAAUGAUGUUAUUGUGCUUAGAAACAAUGGAGAUGACCAGGGAGUACUUGAGGAGAAGCAUGAAGGUGGAGAGGUCCAUCAAGAGGCGUCCAUGUCACACGGAGGCCCAAUGCAAAUCAACUUUGAGUCCACCUCGAAGUCCAGGAGUAGUCUGCCUUAGAUUGGACACCUAGGUCGCCGCAUACGGAGUCGAAUUUUGACGUUCUAUAUAUGGAUGGAAAGAUAAUUUGAUAGAACUUCAAAUGGAGCCAGUUCCAUUUGAGUCAACGGGAAUCAUCAAAACAAGUGGACGUCCAGAAUCUAUCAGCGUGCAUCGCCACCAUCUUUCAAGCCGUUGGGCCGUGUAUCGUGUUGGAGCCCAUUAGGGGCGUGUCCAAGGUUAUUGCACGCCCCUAAACACUUUAUAUUCAGUAGAGUCAGACAAGUUAGGAUUUGGGUUUUGCUUAGAUUCAAUCUUUCAUUGGCAGUCGCCGUUCAUCGGUUUGUGAGACCCCAACUUUGUGUGCUUAAUCCAAGGUUUUCUAUAAUUGAGUUGUGUUCUUCCUGUUCUUGCUUGUAUUCUCAAUUUGCAUGCAAGGGAUAUCCUUCGUGGCGAGGUCAACCAGGUUAUGCACAGUUGGUAACCAGAGGAGAAGUGGUGCUUCGAUUGUGGGGUUCGAAUCUUGCUGAUCAGAAACCGGAUCGAGUGUGUUAUUUCUCCACCAUAUCGAGAGUUACCCUCACCUGACGGAAGAUCAGGCACCCUAGUUCCCAUCAAAAUGCCAAGCCCAUCAAGACCCCAAUGGUAUCAAAUGGGCAACAAUGACAUGAGGACAACUAAAGACAUCAUGAAACAUCUCGUUGAAACAAUGACAACAAUCCCAACUACAUAUUGGAACAUUUCGCGAAUAUUGUGGGAACAAUCCAAACUACACAACAGAACAUCUUAUUAAUCCUAUAGGGAACAAUCAAAAUACAACAUGAAAUAUUUGAUAAAUACUGUGAGAACAAUCCAAAUCACAUCAUGGAAAAUCUUGCAGAUAUUAUUAGGGAAACAAUAUAAAUACGCAUUGAAACGUCUCAUUGAUACUAUGUGUACAAUCAAAACUGCACCGUGGGUAAAAUAUAAAAACUGUACGCUCAUAGAAUAUGAAGAAAUAAAAUAACAACUGUAAGAAGAAAUAAAUAAAAACAUGUAAAUAAAGAAUGGUAAAAAGGAAUAAAAAGCUAACUGGGUAAAAUAUUCUAGGCCUAAUAAACUAUGGUAAACAUGAAAGAAACAACCUAUAUAUUAUAUACUGAAAAAAUGAGUAAACUACUGUACAUGAGCUGUUAAGUUAUUUUAUAACUCUCGAAACGCUGGCUGAGCAAAUCAAUCAUGUAGGUUCUGGCUAACGCGCAGCAAGCUACACCAGCUGGCCAGUAGGCCGCUUCACGCGGGGCGCUGCGCCUGGCGAGGGAGAGAGGCCGGGGGUGGUCGGCGGGGUGCCAUUUCUUGCGCUGCCGUCGCAUCGAGCAUGAGCUGCAGAGGGACGGCGGCAGCUUUGCUUUCCUCUGGAGAAGGUGGCGUGAUUGAGGAGGAUGAGGCAGCGGCGAUAGAUGGAGGCGCUGCAAUCUCCUUGACCCCAGAAGUUGGAGCAGGUGGAGGUGGAUGAGGCGAGGGCGUGAGGCGGCAGAGAGCCAGGGACCCACCGGUGUAAAAAGGAUCUUCCAUCUUCAACAAAAAUAUCAGUUGUGUUUUACUGGGGACUAAAGGUAGGUAACACACCAACCGGGACGAAAGAUUCCUCACGAGUUACUACAAAAUGAUUGCAUCCCUUAUUGAAUUAGAUGUGCUAUGUAGGUGAGAUGGUAAGGAAGCUACGCGCGAGGCUUGAGGUCGUGGGUUCGAAUCCCAUGCACCGCGCACGUGCAUAUUUCGCAUGAAAAAUCGCAUGACUUGAGAUGUGCGUGUGUGUAAGAGUCAUCCAGGAAUUUUUAAUUUUUUUUGGCGCAAAACCCUUUAGUCCCGGUUGGUAUUACUAACCGGGACUAAAGAUGUGCCUUUACGGGACUUUAGUCCCGAAUGAUUAGUCCCGGUCUGACUAGUGCUUGUUUCUCUACUAGUGACCAAGCUAAGAGUGCUUGGGAUUUUUACGGCCGACGAGAGGGAGAUUUUCGGCCUUAAGGUAAAACGAUAGAUUUUUACAGCGAAGGUGAGAAAGUCCUGUGGCUAGAACUCAAAGACAUAUAUGAAGUGUACCAUCUUGAUGCCCUUGAUGUCUCUCUGAUCAGCGCCUGGGCUAUGUAGGUGUCCAUUAAUCUAUAUGUAAAUUUUGGCUUAUAUCAUUAUUUUUUAUGCGUGCGUCGUCGUACUAACUUCGUCUUCCAUUUUAUUUAGGAUGCUAAUUCAGACGUGCCGACGAGAAGAUUACCUCCAUGUUGGCUUCAUGGAUCCAUCCCUAGUUAACUAAAAACAAAUACAGGAGCAACUAGUGAAAACGUUGGUGGAAGUAUACAAUUUCCUAGACAAACAAAAUUUCAAGGAUUUCAUACUACCAUACAACUUCAAGUAAGUGUGCGUAUACCGUUUAAUUUCAUUUUCUUUUUCCUUGAUUAAUGUUAGUUAGCUCUAAUAUAUAUGAACAUUUACGUAUGCAGUUACCACUGGAUCCUUAUAAUAAUUGAGACUGAAAGAAGCCACGUCACUUUCUUCAAUUCGUUGAGGAAAGCUCCGACGGAGUACCAAGACAUGCUAGGCUUGUAAUAAUUUUGGACCUUUAUCUCUAUGCAAAAGUUUGUUUCCUAAAUUUUCACCUAACAUUAUAUCAUUCAUUAUUUUAAUCUGUAGCGCAUGGAGAGAAUUCAUCAGGAAACACAAAGGUCCAUUCAAAAAAAAGUCUUACAUGGAACACAGACUUCCCGGUACGUAUGAAGUUUGCACAUUUCGUACAUUCUAUAGCACGAAUAUUUCAUAACUUGUUUUUCCCCCAUUGAAGUGCUUAAGAUAGGACUUGUGGGACCCAAGGGAAAGAUGACGCCGCACAACUUUAAAGUACAUAAAAUAAAACUAUUAAUAGUUAAUUAUUUUCUACCUCCUUAUAUUUAAUUGUUCGUGUAAAAUUCACAUUUUUCCAAAUUAUAGAUGUAUAAUAUUCAUUGCAUUCUUGGUGGACGAGGAAGGAAAGAGUAGCGGCAAUAUGUGAAGGUCUUAUUGCAUUCGCGAUGGACGAGGUGGUAAAUCUAUAAGGAGAAUUUUAUUAUGAUGGACAAAAAUUAGACGCACCGAGCAACACCUCAACGGGAGGAUCCUAGAUAGUUUAAUUUGAUUUGUAUAACAAGCUAAGAUUUGUAUAGUACGCUAAUAAUUGUAUAUAUACUAAGAAAUGUAUAUAUAGUAAUUAUAUAAAUACUAGUUUGAUUAGUCUAGAUACUAGUUUGAUUUCAUUAUAAAAGAAAGUCUUAACUACUAAAGAUAACUGAAGAGUAUGUACGUGAUGCAUGAAAUUACAGGUGCCAUGUACGCUAACUAAAGGGGUACGUGAUGCAUGAAAUUACAGGCGCCAUGCAGGCGCCUACGUCGUGCACGCCUGAAAUUUCAAGUAUGACUUUAGUCCGGGUUGCCAACCAGGACUAAAGGGUAGUACCGGUUGAGUGACCCGGGACUAAAGACCUCACUUUCAACUCGAUUGUUUUAUUCCAGAUAGAUUUUUGAGAGAUUUUCUCCCUACCAAUCAGAACUAAUGGCGAGUUUUGCACCAAUGAAGUGUGCUCCGGAUGUUGAAGCUCCUGCGGACGGGCAGGCCGUGUUGCGAAUGGACGUGUCUGAGACAGAAGUCUCGAUCAACCUUUGCAGAGGAUCCAGCGGCGAGCAAAAACGGGCGACAGCCAAGUCAGGCGCACGCGGACGUCACCCGCACAACGGCAGGCGCGGCGUCCAAACAAAAGUAGCGGCCGCCCGGCCGUAUUUCUGUUGUGCCGCGUUCCCCACGCCUGCGUCUCAGCGUGGCUGGCGUGCAAGGCUAGCUGUAUCCCUUUCGGCCCAGCUAACAAGUAACGCCAGCUUUAUUCACUCUCACCACACCUCCCUCCCUCUUUAUCCUCCUCCUCACCCCAUUCUUCAUCCUCCCUCUCUCCAUCAAGGGUACAUCGGAAGAGGUGCUGCUGGUACAUCGAUCUGGUGGGAGAUAUCAGUAUAUUGAGGUAACUUGAUUCAUUCAUCUUACCUAUUAUUAAAAAAGUAAGCACCUUAAUUUUUUUUAGUUUGAUCCAACUUCUAUUAUUGACGGGUGGGUUCAAACACGUAUUCUUGGUUUGAAUCCGACUCAGCUCGGUUCACCGCACGAAUACGACUCAGCUCAGUUCGCCGCAUGCCCGCACCUAAACGGCCAGGCAGUUGUGGGGAUCAGCGAAGCCAACCCUCCUUUUUCCAUCACGAAUCACACUGACCCAGGCUUUUGCGUCCCCUAAGGCUGGUGCUGGUGGCCGUUAACGUUGAUCUCGCCGGUAGCAGCCUUUAGCACUGGCGCCAGCACCUUGCUCCGCCCGCUCGGGCGCCCACCUACGCGCCUCCUCGGUCGGCUCCUCCACAGCCUGCAACUUGAACGGCCACCCGAGUGUGAAGUUGCGCGGCACCGUCCGCGAACGUCGCUGAGUGUCUCUAAGGCCUGCUGCGGUGGAUCUAGGGUGUAUUUCACGAAGGAGAAAUGAGGAGAGAGAAAGUUGAGUGCUCCGGGGGGGGGGGGGGGGGGGGGGGGGGGGGAGCAUAGGAGCGCAGGGAGGCGCAGCUUUUCAAUUUUUUAUUUUAUCACCUGGCGUCUGUAUCUGUGCUUCAGUGGCCCUUGACCUUGAUGCAUUGGCCCAUUAGGACAUCUUGUUCCUUUACUUAGGAAACGCGACAGAACACCAUGAACACAUAUAUUUUUUAUAACUACAAAUACUAUACAAACUGUAUUAGGUACCACAGAUGCUUAGAUGACAAAAUCUACAGCAGCUAGAGAUACGGGGAAACCUAAUAAAGAAGAAAACAUCUGAUUCGAGAAAUAGGAAAUUGGCAUGUAUGUUUUGUUAUAUAUCGAUAGUUGAAUAUGUUUUUGAUUUUAUUUAUGGUCUCUGAUCAUUAGCCACGUAUUCCCGAUCGAAUUUUUUGGUUUCUGAUUUGGAAACAUGAGCUAAAUUAUAUGGAUGGUGGAUGCCAAGAGUUUGAUGCUUCCAGAGGAAUGAAUAUAGAUUUCUUCAGUGGCCACCUUUGAGCUAGAUAAAUAAGCUAGCUCAUUGGGUUUAACAUUUGAUGUUUCAUUCCAACAUGGGCUAUGCCUGAAAUUCCUUACUUUAGCAAGCAACGAAAUCACAAGGCCUGCGAACUAGUUCCCAACAUACUUUCAUAGUUUUAAACUAAAACUUCAAACAUGAAAUAAACAGACUGCAACACAGAGCUUCAGGCAACAAAAUGCAACCAACUACUGUCACAGACUACAUCUAGCAACCAUCUUGUGUGUUUGAGAUCUUGCAUUCUCCACCGCAAAAGCAAACCUUCAGCCCCCAUUCUUGCCAGAUUCAUUUCACUGAAGUAGCACCAUCCUGUGUCAUCCGCUGGGGCCUCCUGAGGAUGAAAAUGUAGAGCCGUCACCUUGAGCGCUUCUGCCCCUUCUUCCAGCUUUUCCCUGUCUUCUUCUUCUUUUUUUUUAACUCUGCCCAGAACAUAAGAAACGAUGAGGCAGAGCAAAUGAUCUCAGUAGGAGAUCGAAUAAUUUUCUUAUCAAAGCAAACACUAUCUCUUGCUCUCCAAAUAGCCCAGCAAAUAGCUGAAAGAGCAACCAUGUGAAACUUCCUGCCAGAUUUUAGAAAGGAAAUAGCCAACAACAAAAACUAUUCCAGACUACAAGGUCUACAGUUUGCUCCUACCACCAAGGCAAUCAAACUCCAAAAAUAUCUAGCCAUAGCACACCCAAAAAACAUAUGUUCCACUCUAUCUCUCUUUCUGAGCAAAAAGCACAAGAUUCAUCUCCUUGCCAUUUCCUUCUCACCAAAUUAUCUUUUGAUAGAAUUGCAUUCUGUUGCAUCAACCACAUGAAAAUUUUAAUUUUCAGUAACAUCUUAGCUCCCCAUAUGUUGCUGUGUGUAACAGUGGGUUCAUUGUUAAACAUAUGAGAAUGCAUGGAUUUGACUGAAAAGACUCCUUUCUCUCCCCAAAUCCAAGCAUCUCCUAAAUGUGAGCCUCCAGUUUCAUGCGUCAUAUAAGCAACAGUACAAGAUUGUGCAUUACAUAUCUCAUACAACUCCGGGAACUUAUCUUUUAAAGAUACAUUCCCACACCAUGGAUCACUCCAAAAGUCAAUAUUUUUACCAUUCCCAACUACCAUUACUCUUCCCUUUAAACAUAAUUCUUUAACUUUGAUCAGAUUAUUCCACACCGGCGAAUUCGUUGGUUUGAUCUUUAACUGAGACAAACAUGCUUCUUUAUUAACAUACUUUUUCUUUACAAUUUCUUGCCAUAAUCCAUCUCCUUUUUCAAAUUUCCUCCACCAUUUGCAAAGAAGACUGAGAUUCAUUUCCUUAAGUCAUGUAGUCCCUCCCCCCCCUGAUUUUACUCCACUUUCCUUAGUGCCACCACGGCUUGCCAAAAAAAGACUUUUUCCUAGUUCUGUCCAUUCUUUUGUUUAUAGUUAUUUGGAAGCAAGUACAUAGACAUGCAGUAUAUAGGUAUGCUACUAAGACAUGAUUUUAUCAAGACUGUUCUCCCUCCGAUAGAUAGCACUUCCCCUUUCCAUCCAUCUAAUCUUUCGAGUUUUUCAUCUAGUUGCAGCCAAUCAAUGAUGUGCAGUCUUCCACCCGAAACUGGAACACCUAGCUACUUUAUGAGCCAUGAUCCUAUUGCACAAUUAAACAACUCUGAAUAGGUGUUGGAUUUCUGUUCAUCCUCACUAAUCAUUAUCACCUCACUCUUCUCGAAGUUUAUCUUAAGUGCAGACAUUUCCUCAAAUAGAUAUAACAGAAUUUUAGUGUUUUCUAGCAACUUCCUCGUCAUCCUUAAGACACAAGAUGGUGUCAUCUAUAUAUUGUAAAAUCUCCACUCCUUUCUCUAUAUAUUCUGGCACCAGUCCUUCAAUUAUUUUGAGCUUGGUUGAACAUUUUGGAUAAUGUGUCCUCCGCUAUAUUGAACAACAGGGGCAACAGAGGAUCCCCUUGUCUCACCCCUUUACCACACAUGAAGUAAUCCCAUCCCAUCAUUUACCUUUACACUCAAAGUACCACUGGUCAUCACUUCCCAAAUCCAUUUACACCACUUUUCAUUAAAACCUCUUUGCUUUAAACACUCCAGCAAGAUUUCCAGUUUAUUUUAUCAUACGCUUUUUCAAAGCCUAGUUUUAGUAUUAGACCAUCUUUCCCCUUUUGUUUUGUGUCAUGUAAAAUCUCAUGAAGACUCAUUACCCCCUCCAUAAUAUUUCUCCCCUUGCUGAAUGCAUUCUGUGACUGAUUAAUAAUUUUAUCCAUACAUUUUGCCAACCUGAGCAUCAAACAUUUUGUGAAAAUUUUAUAAAGCACAUUAAGGAGACAUAUCGGGCGAUAUUGCUGAAUUUUAUUCGCCUCCUUGCUUUUCAGAAUCAAAGCUUUAGUUCCAUAGUUGAGUCUACCUAUAUCCAGAUUAUGUUUAUGGAAAUCUUCAAACAUCAAAACAAUUUCGUUUUUAAUGAUGUCCAAGCAAGCCUGAUAGAAUUCUGUCAGCAUAUGGGCUGUAUUUGUUUUUGUGGAAUCGAUCAUUUUUUAUUUCUUCCUCGGAAAAGUUUCUGGUCAAGAUUUUGUUUUCUUCUGUUGAGAUUUGUCAUUUUCAUUCUAGCACUCAGGAUCCAUUGUGACUAGUCUUUUUCCCCUCUUACCAUUCAGGUAGCGUUUAGACAUAACGCCACACUGAUCUUGCAGCGCUGCAGUAUGAGUUUGUUUUUGCACAAUUAUUCUUCAUUUAAUUACUUGUUUGCUUGCGAAGAAAUUCAGGUAGCAUUAAGAUGUAUUUAGACCAUCCAUAUACAUUUAUCCUAAUUAUCUCUUCAAUCAUCCUUCACAUCCUCAUUGUUUUUACUUGUAACAGGAAGGACCUGCACAAAGUUUUUGCCGUUAUCAAGAACCAAUAGUGAAACGAACAAGUAGUAGACACGGCAAAUUAAGGAGUUCAGGUAAUAUAAUUCGAUCACACUUGCUUCCUAGUUAAAAAGUAUUGUUUUAGUUCUAUACCAUAUAAUGGGUACGCUUCAGCUCAUCCCUUCUUUUGCAAAUUGCUCUACUUGAUAUGAUGUUUCAAACUUGAAGAAAAUUCUCCAAAUGCCCAGUUUCUUUUGCCCAGAUUUAGUCACUAACAUAAAAUGCGUAAUUUGUUCUCUUCUGCAUGAUAAAAUUUAUCCCAGCUUGUUUUCUCCUCCUAAAAAUAUUAUGUAAAUAAAUGCACAUAACAGUAGUAUUUGCACAGGCUUUACAACGGUGAGCUGGGAGUGCCACAAUUAUCAUUUAGUAUGCCAGCCAUCUUGAACUUUAUUUGAAUUAUUAAAUCUAGCAUGCUUCCUUGCUUAUAUAGAUCAUGGAGAAGACAACUUUAAUUUAUUGAAUUUCUACUACUUAAAUAAUCGUGUAUAUCAUGCAGUACAUAUAUCUCAUUUGAUGCCUUGGCAUUUGCCUCAAACCAACUAACCCUAACUACACACGUCUGCUGUCUCAGUCCCGAAGUGCGAGGUACUGCCAUGGACGGCAACUCCCAGCCACCUGCACCACCGGCUGCCACAAUGAUCACGCUGGCCAACCCGUUCAUGAGGCCGGCCGCGGCUGUGACCACCGUGCCAUGGUUGCCCACUGCUGUGCACCAGCAGCGCCAGCCGAAGCUUCCGGUUUUCAGGCCGCCGGCUGCCGCAACGGUCACGCCUGAACGGCAGCUCCUGCAGGGCUCCUCCAGCCAACAGGUACCCGCUGCGGCUCCUCCGGUUGCUGCCACUGCUCCUCGUGGCCCCACUGUGCUUGGCGUUAGCAGGCCGCCGGCUCCACCAACGGCUAUGAUGGCGAACCCAUCGCCAAGGUUCAUGCAGGUCAACAACAGAUUGACGCUCAGGGAUCUUCAACUCCUGCCAAAACUGCCUGUCUACAGGGGGCCAACGCCUAGGCCUGAACUUGCAAGGUCCGUUUCAUCGGGCAAUCCGCUGCUGCAGUCGUCAGUGGAUACAGGCCCGUGCGCCUUAAACAUGCAGGCAGACCUACCAUCUCCAGACGAAUUGUCAGAGAGGGACAGUGGCAGCGAGGACGAGCUGGAGAUGCUGGACUAGUUCCUGCUCGAUCACCCUUGGAAGUUUGUUCAGACAAUGAGAAGUUGUGAGAUGUGAAGCGUGUAUGCUCGUACCAGUUAUCCUAUCAAUGUUUGUGUUCACUGCAGAACUGGGUUGGUUGACCUAUAUGGUUAUCUAUCCAUUGUCGUAGAAGAUUUGGGAUUAUGAGGUUCAUGUGGAGAUUAACUAAAUGUUUGUUUGUCUUCCUUAUCUUUCGGUUCAAAAUUUUUUUCCUGAGAUGCGAAGGUUUGCAUGGGGUAGUGCGCUGGAAGGUACGCAGGUUUAGAACGUCACCUGACAAAAAGAUUAUUGAUUAUGAUCGCUAGAACGAAUCUGCAACGUCAGACACUUCUUCUAAUGCUAGAUGUUUUUUUUUAACGUUUGUCUUAAAAUUAUCUUCCAAAAGAAAAGGCAUCAAAAUUUGGUUCCGUAUGCAGUAGUUAUACCUUACUAGCUAGACACCUUGUAGACUACCGUUUGCCAAUACAAACUAGGGUGUCAAAGUUUUUCAUCCUUUUCUUGCAAUUAUCGGGAGCGAGGGGCAACACGCCAUUUCACAGCAACUAGGAUUGAAGAACAACGCUGCAGGUAAUCAGCGAAAACCAUAUCACCAUAGGGAAUCUUCUUCACAUUGUUAGAAUUAAAGCAUCUUCAUCAUCGCAAUCGAUCAUCGUUCUACUUGUACGGUCUCCCUUUCCACGAUGGGGAAUUGUACUGGAAUGGUGGACUCACGUAACCACAACAUCAUAUUCACCGCGUCAGGCUCUGAGAAGUCUAACUCUACUCAUCAUGUGGGAGGUUUGGAAACAACGGAAUGAGCGCAUCUUCAAUGCAUAUGAGAGCUCUACAACGAUGUUGUUGGCGAAAAUCAAGGAGGAGUCGUCAGCUUGGAUGCUGGCAGGGGCAAAAGACCUAGCGUUACUCCUAACGCGAGAGUAGUCCUUUUCUUUUUGCACGGCUAGCCGCUCAGCUGGCUGUUUGUUUUUCCUUUUGAAUUUGUUUCCUUCCUGUAAACUCCUGCUUUAUCAAUAAAAUAGGCACAAUCUCGUGCCUGUUCAUUCAAAAAAAAAAGAGAAUGGAGCAGUCCAAACUUUCAGAUAUGCAUGUAUCUUCUGCUCAUCCAAUAAAAAUGGAUAGAUAAGAAGAUGCACUUUACAUUGUGCAUAAGGACCUUCCGACAUGCAUGUAUCUUUUGCUCAUCCGAUGAUAGUGGAUAGAUAAGAAGAUGCUAAGGACAUUUAUAUACUAAUAAUUGGCAUUAGACAAUAGCGAAAAAAGUUUAGGAGACAAAAAGGAGCACAAAUUCACACCUUGUUAAUGCCUGAAUUCACAAAGGUGAUACUCGAUCGCAUCUCACAUAAGUAUGUUGUGGUCAAAGCUAUCCUUCUAGACAUGACCAUAACCAAGGUCUAGAUGGAUAGCUCAGGAACCCUCAUCAUUGGCAAAUAUAACUUCAAGAGCCAAAAAAAAAAGAAUCAAAUUCAUCAAACCACAACGGAAGAAUCUUAAUGGAAGAACAGAGGUUUCAUCCAGGUAUAAAAAUAUAUGUUCUAUAGUGGUGCAGGAUGCAAUCAAAAUUGGAUACAGUGUGGCACUUUUCAUCUGGACCUUCAAUCCCAUAUCAUUUUGAAAUCACAUCCUUGUAUUAUUGCCUCUCUAUUGUUAUCUUCAUUGUAGUAACCAUCUUGUAAGAUCCCAGGCAUGUGCAAUGGAUAACCAUGGCCCGCUUUGAAAUGUGCAUCCACAGCUAGCUUGCUGGUUGAUGCCAUACUAUUUUUAAUAUCCACUUGUAUCUUACCAUUAAGUUCAGUCAGAAAUCAAACAUGUUGUUGGAAAUUCUCUCUCUCUUGGACUUUGCAAGCUGAUGAUGGAAAUGUACACUAGAAAUGGGCUUCACAACCAGCACAUUGUAGCUGGUUCAGCACGAUCCAUUUGUGAUGGAUGCAUACUCCUGGUCCAGCACAUGGUGUCACAACCCUGCAUUGGUAAGAAAAAAGGGGAGUGAGGGUCUAGAAGAGUAAAUCUAGAAUGGGAUCUCCCAGAGAACCGUAUUAUUGUGUAUCUAUAACAUAUUUUGUGGUUCGCAUCGGAGCUCUCAUAAGUAUUAUAAUAAUGUGUGAUUAUCCCUUCAAGAAGAAGAAGAUGCAGACUGCUUAGGAAGGUACCCAGAGCUUUGUCUGACGAAGAGGAAAACAAUAAAAUGCAAACACUACCAACAAUGAGAAAGAGACUGCAUCAAUCAGACCUAUUGUUAGGAGAAGUGAAGGGGGAAAAAGGCAAACAGUACCAAACAGAAUUGGGCUUCACAAGCGGUACAUCUCGGUGCAUUGCCCAUUCUACAUUUCAUGUACGGAUUUUUAGUAUAGAUUCUCAUGAAAGACUAAAUUUUAAUAUAGAUUCUAGUGCUACUAUAUAUUUCCUCACCACCAGAGUAGACAGCGGCUGUGCUUCUGGAGUACACAGAUGAUGAUAACAUUAAUUCUAGAGUUUUUGCAGUCUGGACUCAUGGCUAAGUUUACUAGGAAAGAUACCAAGUGCAAGCUAUUGCAAACAUAGGAUUUAUCAUUUGGUGGGAAACCAAUGAAGGAGGAACUCUCUGCUAGCACUAAAAAUUCAUAUUGUAUUUAUCACAUAGCAUUUUUAAUUGGUUAUAGUAAGUUCAAAAUUGAUUUGGAGAAGCUUAAUCUAUUCAAAAAUUGAUUUUUAUUUAUUAUCCCGUGUGAAAGUGUAUUAGGAAAAUACAAGACCCUCGUCACUCCCAGUUUAUUGGACGAAUAAAGGGUGAUGAUUAAGCUCCUCUUUGGCACGGCUUAUGAAGCGGCUUCUCAAGCGGCUUUUAUGAAGCCGUGCCAAAUGGAAACUUGAAAACGGUUCACGAUAAGAAGCCAGACGGAAGCCCCGCAAAAUGCAGUGUCUGCUUCCUCCGCGGGCGAGAACCCAGAAAUUAUAGCUUAUACCGACUCAUCCCCAACCUAAAACGCUAAAAGAUGCAUGCGCCACUGCUAUUUCAUGGAAACUACUAGAUUUGCCAUUGGGCCAAGCUGCAGUCAGGGCGGAGGCUAGUGGCCGGGGUGGAGCUGGGUGAGCGUGCACAGGUAGCGGCUGGGGCAGAGAUCAGUGGGGGGAGUGGAUGAAGCGCUGUGUCGGAAGGAAAAUGGGAAGAAGGGGCGGCACUUACCCACAACGAAUGGCGCGGCCGCUCAGAGAACAUCGUCGGCGCGGUGAUGGGGGUGCAUCUGCGAAGCACAGGGGGAGCAGCACCGGAGGAGAUGCGGCGUAGCAGGACCAGAGAGAGGUGGAGGGAGAAGCGCGGGGUGAUGCGGCUAGAGGGAGCAGCAGUGCAGCACCGGGAGAUGAGGCCAGAGCAAGCGCCGCUCGUGGCUUGACAACGAAACAAGAAAGAAUGGGAUCGGGGAGCAAAUUGAAUGGUUAAGGGAGAAAUAGUGGCUGAGAGAAAAAGAGUGAAAAGGGAAAUAGGAAGAAAAAGGAAAAAUAAAAAUGAAAGGAUAAAAAGAAGGAAGAAAAUAGAAUUAGAAAAUAAGAAAGAAAAAUUGAUAAGGGUAUUUUGGACAUUUGACAUCUUACAUCGAUCUUCAAAAGCCAGGAGAAGCCGUUCUGCCAAACAUUUUCCCAACCAAAUAAGUUAGAACAAAAAAUUUGCUUUACUAGAGAAGCCAGAGCUGAAGUUAUUUUCUUGCGAUCCGGAGACGAACAAAAAAGAUGCUUUACUAGAGAAGCUAGAGCCAAAAUCAUUUUCUUACAAGCCAGAGUCACGCCAAACGGGACCUAACUAUCACUCCCGGUUGUUAUUAAGAACCAGGAGUGAUGGUUAACCGUCCCACCCAGUUUGUUUCAUUAUUCUGGGUCACUAGUAUGAGCUAGGAGUAAAGUUCCUUUUCUAUAUAAACACUUACCCCCCAUCCCCUCCAGAAGCAAUGGCCUUUCUCUCACCACAGGCGUCUCCACCACAGAUGACCCCUCUUCUGGAGGCUUCACCACCACAGGCAUCUCCUCCUUGAGUAACAUUCUGGAGGUAGCCCGUAACCCUUAUGUAGCUUAGUUGAAUGCCAUAUUGACAAAAUAGGCUCAGAUGAACAAUUUAAUCCAUCAUCAGUUAGAAUAGAAUUCCAUGUGUGCUAUAGAGAAUUGAGAAUUUUCAUGUCUUUCAAUUCGGGAGGUUUCGCGAGACUCUACUUGGGUGUUCUAUCAUUGCUGUAGGUCCUAAGCUUUCAUUACAUCAAUGUGGCUUACCUCUAUAGAUAGCAAUAAAGCUAGAGUGAAAUAAGUUUCUUCAUGCGCUUAUGAAUAAGCUGCAAUGGGUGGCUCCACCACCAGCAACCUCAGCUCAAUCAUGAGUUGAAAAAUAGUUAGAAAUUUUAGGUUGAAAAAUGGUUAGCAAAAUUUAGCCAAAAAAUAGUUAGAAAUAUUUAGCUAGAAAAAGUAGUUUGGAAAUAUUUCCUAGGAAUUUAGCUAAAAAAUUAGGAAAAAUUAUCUAGAAAAAAUUUAAUUUUCUAACUGUUGAUUUAAGUGGCUGUACAUUGAAGCAAAUGAUGAAACGGGAGGAAAAUUUUAGCUUGUCUUUGACAUGUUCUGUUUUUUUUUAUUGAAACGUAUAUUAAUUACAAGCUAUGCAGGUGCAAAAUCACUUAUGAGUGGCUCAUAGGCUGAUUAGGGUUAUCAAGAAUGUCCUAGAUAUGCUUGUACUUGAGAACUGCAAUCCAGCAUGCGCACCUUUUCAAUGUGAUACUUCCUAAUGAUUUUGCAACGGCCUACCUUUUCUUUCGAGUCAACAUACUGUUUAACCAAAGAGAAAAUUCUCUAUUUGACACCAUUAAAAUGAAUGCUUCCUUUCUUGGCCCUGCAAAUUUUGAACUUCCCUAUUUAACACUAAAUUUAAUUUGCAUUCCUUAUAUGAUACUACCAUCUCUUUUCUGCAUUAACGGUGUUAAGUGGAGAGUGAGAAGACCAUUUUGCUCCUUAGCAUGACCAAGCUGAAUGCACAAGACAAGAUAUGUUUGCCACCCAUAUUUUAGAAAGUCAAAAUGGCCGAUUUGGUCAUUUCAACUUUGUUCCGAGGGUCAAAUUCAUCCCUCAAUUUUUACAUAAACUAAUUUAAUCCCUCAGCUUUCAUUUUUGAAUCAAAUUUGUCCUUGUGCUGAUGUUACACUUGUUAUUGACAUGAAACUGAUGUGAAAAGUCUUUUUUACCCUCGACUCUUUUCCCCACCACCUCAAUAUUCGCCAGCAGUGCAAAAGGGCAAAAUCUUUUGAUCAACUAACCACAGGGACAAUGCUAAUGAGACGACGCUUACUCAUUUGAACCAAUCAUUUUUCAAUUGCCUCAUCAAUCACAAUUAUUGCUGCUCACUGACAUUGAGCCAUGAUUAAAGAACUCACCAAUCGAGACAACACACUAUUCUCAUCGUACCAGCAUAGUAUCAAAUUAAUUUGGAAAAUAUGAGAUAGCAACAAACGUUAACAUGAGUGCGAGGGCGGAGGGCCGGCGGCAUGCGGCGGUGCGGGGCAGAGCGCGUGCUGUGUCCGCGCGACACGAACGCGAGGCCGAGGCAUGCAAGGCGAACGCUGUGUCGCGGCUGCACGACGUGAGCGGCGGGCGGCAUGCUGUUGCCAUCUAGAAUUUGCCGUGCCUGCGCUCCCGUGUCGUGAGGCCGGCGUGUCCGUGUCUGGUGUGGCGGUGUCCCUAGCUGCCUGUCCCAUACUCCCACGGUGGUCUGUGGGUGUGGCUGUGGGCAUCCGGCGGUUCGGCCAUAUGGGCGAAGCCAGCACGUAGGUGAAUGGCGGCAACAAGCAAGUGAAGCCCCCGCCAGGGGUCGGGUAAAAGCUCCGUCUGCAUGAUGCGGCGACGAGCGGCGGUCCUCUAGCCCGUCGGACUUCCGGUUCGUCGACCUGGCUUUCUUUGAGCGGCCGGCGUUGCCGCUCUUCCUGCAGCACAGGCGGUCCGGGUGUUUCCAGAGCCCACGGCCGGAGCGCGUCGACACGGCGGCCGCCGGCACCGGCUACGAGAUCUUCUUUGACGUCGACUACGCCAACCGCCCAUGGUCUUCUUUGACUCAACUUACUGUUUAACCAAAAAGGUGCAUGUCUAGUCAAGCUAAAUUUAUGUUUAGGCCCAUAUAUAUCUCCUAAGUCUGAUGCAAAUUUUCAUUUAAAUCUAUUAGGUUGAUUUUCCUUAUAGUUUUCUUAACCUAUGAUUUCCAUUCAAAUACUUUCGGGAAUUCCCUUUAAAUAAAUACACAACGAAUUUUCCUUCUGAUCCGCAGUAGCUAGGGUGGCACAAUGCUGAGACCUCAUGGAGGAAGCCGACCCUACAUCGGCAGUCACCAGUAGAGAAUUGACCUUCCAUCCAACCCUUUUUGUCUCGGUUAACAUUGGACCCGUGACUAAAGUGGCUUUAGUCCCGGAUAAAAAAUGUGUCACCGAAGGUCAACCGUUGGGGGGGUGAGCUUUAGUCCCGGUUGUAAAUACCAACCCUUUAAUCCCAGUUGUAACAGCUAAAAAAAUUGGACCCCCUUAGUACCAGUUGGAGCCACCAACCGGGACUAAAGACCCCCUUUUGUCCCGGUUGGUAAUUCCAACCGGGACAAAAGAUUUAGUCUCGGUUGGAAUUACCAACCAGGACAAAAUGAGGGCGUUUAGUCCCGGUUGCUGGCUCCAACCGCGACAAAACGCCCUCCCCACGCGCGCGCCCCUCUCCCCAAAUUAAUAUCUUCUCCUCUCUCUCUCUCUCCUUUUCCUUAUCUCUCUCCUUUUCCUUCUCCACCAACGCCUAUCUUCUUUUCCUUCUCCACCGGAUCCCUCCUAUCUCCUCCCUCUCCUUCUCUCUCACGCAGGCGCCCCCUCCCUCCUUCUCUUCCUCUCUCCUGCCCUUCCGCCUCUGCUACCCCUCCCCUUCCCCCUCUGCUCGCCCCUCAUUGGUAGUGAGGAGCGGAAACAGGGCGAGGGUGGGCUACCAACGGGCGAGCAGGUGCGGGUGGAGCGGAGCGGAGCCGAGGCGGAGGCCGGUGGUGGCGGAGUCAAGGUGGAGCAGGUGGCGGCGGGAGGGCGGGAGAGCGGCGCGGGCGCACGCAACCGGGCGGGUGCGAGCGCGGGCACGGGCGGAGGUGGAGGCGGAGGCGAGCGGCAUGUGCGGCGCGGGCAAGCGGCCGGCGGGCGGAGCGGAGGCCGGGUGGCGCGAGCGACCGGCCGGCAGGCGGGCGUGGUGGCUUUUUUUUAUUUUUUUUCAAACUUUUUGUGCUAGAAGCACCCAAAUUAACCCGGCUAAAGUGUUCCCAACAUCGCCUCAAAUACGAAUAAAUACUUUAAUCGAAUUAAAAUGGUAGUCUGUCGGGUUUCACCCUAUACAACCACAUGUUUCUAAUCCAAACAAGCAUACAAAGCUUGCACGAAGACGAGUCCAGAGAUUACAACAAUCUAGAUAACAUAUUACAGGUCCCACAUUAAGUUAUUACGACCGAGUACUCGAAAGCAUAAAAGAGUAGUUCAGAGUUCAUAGUAGCGGAAAAAGAAAACAAUGGUUCUAACGACGAUACAUAAUACCAUGGUGAAGCCUGUCAUGAUAUCACUCACUACAAUCCUCGCCAACUAAGGACGGGUCCCACCCAACCGUCCAUCCCAGAGGGAACUGAGACAGCAAGUCACACUAGCAAUCAUAUCUUCAAAAUCAACAUUACCUGAAAACAUAGCCACAAGCAAGGCUGAGUAUACUAAUGUUGGGGGGAGAUAUUAACGACCUCCUAAUGACCCUCAAAACAAUAAUCAUGAAGGCCCAGGCCCACCUGUGGUGAAGACGUUUGCCGCCGGCCCAGCAUGAGCAGAGAGCGUCACACUCCGUCUCGCCCGACCCAGGGCCCAGGGGUCGGGCACUCCUGAUCCCUCGAUGACAAAACUCCACCUCGCCCGACCCACGGUCCUGGGGUCGGGAGCGCCCGACCCCUCGCCGCAGGACUCCGCCUCGUCCGACCCAGGGCGUAAGGGGUCGGACUCAUCCGGGUCCACAAGACAAGUAUCCGCCUCGGGCGCAGACUAGAGGAUAAGGGUGCGGAUCUCGUGGGUCCCCCGCCAAUCUCACCAUAAAUGCACCGCGGCCCUAGCGUGCAGAAAGGCGCCCGCGCCCCUCAACGUGACCCGCCACAAGUACCCAAGCACGACCGCCCAGCACAAGCUACAGUGGCCGCGGCUCUCCCAGAUUCGCUACAGGGCACUCAUAGCCUGCGCCGCCCAGUAUCGGAAGAGCUCCACCCGUUCUCGCGCCCUGCGUAUCUGGCGAUAGGGAUGCGACAUCCGUGUUCCAUGGGCUGCAAGCAGGACAACAGGGGUCAGCCGUCUUCCCCAACGUGCACAGUAGCCACGACCGGACAUCAUCAUCACGUUGGGCGGUAGCAGAUCGUCGACAAGAUCUGAAGAUAGCCGCCCUCCUCUAGUGGGCGCGCUGACAUGAGCCGGAGGCCGGAGCAGGAGGUGGCGACCCGAGGACUUGGUCCUUCUCCUUCUUUUUGUACUUCACUUUACUUAGCUUAUCUCUUUUACUUCUCCUCACACCUAGCUCAUCUGUAACCCUGAGCUCUCCUUGCGCUAUAAAAGGAGAACCGGGGGCCCUGAGACAGGGGGACUCGGGAGCCAAUAGAACACACACACACAGUCUCCUCUAGAACAUCAGUGCACACCCAGGAGACUUGGGACCGACUCCCUCUCUCGCCUGUUUGUAACCCCUACUACAGACCCUGCGUGGGCAACAUGAGCAGCUCCCCAUACUAGACGUAGGGCUUUCCUUGCCCGAACCAGUCUAACCCCAUGUCUUCCCACACCACCAUCCGAAGCCUAACACUCAUAAAAAAAAUUUACUUGCCGUAGUCUUGAUCUGCUAAUUUGACAAUGACAGUUGGCGCGCCAGGUAGGGGACCUUUGCGCGUACACCACCGGCUUCAGAUGGCCAGCCACGACACCAGCUUCGCUCCGGGCUCCCUCGUCCGCUUCGGGAGUCUGGACUUCCUCGCCACCAGGGAGGGGAUCGAGCUGAUCCCUCUCCUUGUCUUACCCGCUCACCCCGCCAUCUCUGGCUCCGCCGCCAGGACAAUGGCAAGCGCCUAGGCACGCGCCCCGGGGUCCCCUCCGGAGGAGCGACCCUUCGGGUUGCGCAAUGCCACGGCGACCUACAGUCGCCUCCUGGCGCGGUCCAUGACCGUGCCACCACCCUUCGUGUGAGUGCUUCAUGCCCGACGCUGGCUCCGAGGGAUCCAAUGAUGACGGCACCGAAGGGAGCCAGCGGACACCCCCACAGCGCGCCGUGGCUAUGACUGGGGCUCUUGUCAGGCCCCCGGUGCGACCACAACAGCCGGAGGCGCGCGCGGCGCCCCGCCAGGAGGUCGAGCGCCCCUGCAACGAAGGUGGGGCACGACAACGGGCGUGCGACGUCCUGCAAUGCACUUGUGCGGAUGAAGACCAGAACAUCACUGCAGCGGCGGCCUUGCUUUGAUGACUCCCUGAGCCGGCGACACCCGAGGAGCAUCAGGCGCACCAAGAGGUGCGUAACCUGCUCGAGUGCGCCGCCGUCCAGCUGGCGGAAAGCUCUGCGUCCCGGCGAUACGGGCACAACGCCAGCAGGGCAACUCCCACCGCACCUCCCGAGAGGCGGGGGGAGUCUGUGCACCAGCCUCCUCCCGGGGCGAAUCAGGCCGCGCCCGCUCGAGGGACACCGCCGCCUGCAGGAGGCGGAGCUCAGUCCGUUCACCGGCACGUCGGCCCCGUCCGUGACGCCUGCGACACCAUGGACGCGCGGAGGCACUCCCGCGCGGAUAGGGAGGAGGGUGUGGACCGCGGCUAUCAUGUCCGCUGUGGUGGCCGCUAUGACAGCGAAGAAGAUGGCAGUCCAAGCCCCAACCUGGCGGGGCCCAAGGCCUUCUCCGCACGCAUCCUGAACGCGCCAUUCCCGGCGCGCUUCAGGCAGCCUAUGAACGUGUCCAAGUACUCUGGGGAGACGAACCCCGGGCUGUGGCUUAGCGACUACCAACUUGCAUGUCAGGCCGGUGGGGUGGACGAUGACCUAUUCAUCAUCUGCAACCUCCCACUCUUUUUGGCUGACUCGGCGCGAGCCUAGCUAGAACACAUCCCUUCGGGUCGGAUCCGUAACUGGAACGACCCGAAGGAAAUCUUCGUGGGAAACUUCCAGGGCCCAUACAUGCGCCCUGGCAAUUCCUGGGACCUACGAAGCUGCCGCCAGGGGCCGGACGAGUCCCUCCGGGACUACAUCCGGUGUUUCUCCAGGAAGCGCACCGAGCUCUCCAAUGUCGCGGAUGCCAACGUCAUAGGAGCUUUCCUGGCAGGAACUUCCUGCUGGCCCCUUGUCCACGAGCUGGGACGCUGGGGCCCGUGGACCACGGAGGAGCUCCUCAACAUCGCCACUAGCUUCGCCUCAGGCGAAGAAGCCGUCGAAGUGAUCUUCGACCGUUCAAAGGGCAAGGUGAAGCGGGAGGAGGACGCCGACGAGGGGACCUCCAACCGUCAACAGAAGAAGAAGAAUAAGCAGCGGCGCGAGGCCCCCCUCGUGGCUGUUGCUGAACACAAGAGGGGACAACCGCCCCCAGAGGGCACCCCCGGUUUCUUCGACAAGCUACUCGAGGGGCCGUGCCCGAACCACGAGUUCCCUGCGAAGCACGCCUACAAAGACUGCAACCUCAUGAAGAGGUAUUUUGUAGGCAACCCAAUGAAGGGCGACCACAGAUGGAAGCCCGAGGAGGAGAAGAAGGACGGCGAGGAGAAGGAGGAUGGCUUCCCCAAGGUGGACGGCUGCUUCAUGAUCUUCGGCGGGCUGGCGGCUUACGACUCCAAGCGGCGCUGGAAGCUGGAGCGCCGCGAGGUCUACGCGGCCGAGCCCGCUACGCCAACCUUCCUCGACUGGACAAGGUCUGCCAUCACCUUCGACCAAUCCGACCACCCGGAUCGCGUCCUACAGCCAGGGCACUACCCGCUUGUCGUUGAACCCAUCGUCGGCACUACGCGCCUCACCAAGGUGUUCAUGGACGGGGGCAGCAGCCUCAACAUCCUCUACGCCGAGACUCUCGACGCCAUGGGGAUCGACCGCUCUCGCCUCCGGCCCAGCGAGGCGCCGUUCCACGGCAUCGUGCCGGGGAAACUUUUGGGACUCCUUCCAACUACAGGAAGGAGACCCGCACCUUCGAGGUGGUGGGUUUCCGCGGAACCUACCACGCUAUCCUGGGGCAGCCGUGUUACACCAAGUUCAUGGCCAUCCCCAACUACACCUACCUCAAGCUCAAGCUGCCGGGGCCCAACGGGGUCAUCACCGUCGGCACGUCUUUCCAGAAGGUGUACAAGUGCGAUGUGGAGUGCUGCGAGUACGCCGUAGCCAUCACCUGCGCAGAGGAUCCCGUGGUCCAGCUCGCGGAAAGCGCCGAGGACCCGCUCGACUCCAAGCAGUCCGCCACCUCCUUCGAGGCCACCGAAGGCGUCAAGGAGGUCCCCCUCGAUCCAAGCAGCUCCGGCGGCCGGACCGUUCAGAUCAGCGCUACCCUAUCUCCCAAAUAGGAAAGCGCGCUCGUCAACUUCCUCCGCGCGAACAGCGACGUUUUCGCGUGGAAACCCUCGGACAUGCCAGGCAUCCCAAGGGAAGUCGCCGAGCACUCCUUGAACAUCAAGGCCGGCUCCAGACCGGUGAAGCAAGGCCUGCGACGCUUCGACGAGGAGAGGCACAAGGCCAUCGGUGAGGAGCUCCAGAAGCUUUUGGCGGCCGGAUUCAUCAAGGAAGUGUACCACCCUGAGUGGCUAGCUAAUCCUGUCCUUGUACGAAAAAAGAAUAGGAAAUGGAGGAUGUGUGUUGAUUAUAUCGGUCUCAACAAGGCGUGUCCAAAGAAUCCGUUUCCUUUGCCACGUAUAGAUCAGAUAGUCGACUCAACCACCGGGUGCGAAACCCUUAGCUUCCUUGACGCAUAUUUCGGCUACCAUCAAAUCGCGAUGAAAGAGUCCGACCAGCUCGCGACCUCUUUCAUCACCCCCUUCGGCCCCUACUGCUACGUUAAGAUGCCAUUCGGCCUCAAAAACGCAGGGGCUACGUUCCAGCGAUGCAUGCUUAAGUGCUUCGGGGACCGCAUCGGGCGGACCGUCGAGGCUUACGUAGAUGACAUCGUAGUCAAGUCCAAGAAGGGCGACCAGCUCAUCCCUGACCUCGAACUAGCCUUCGAAACGCUGAGAGACAAGCGCAUCAAGCUCAACCCUGAAAAGUGCGUCUGGUGUGCCGAGGGGCAUGCUGCUGCGCUUCAUCGUCUCCGUGCGCGGCAUCGAAGCCAACCCGGAGAAAAUUGCGGCCAUCAACGACAUGGGGCCAAUCCGAAACAUAAAGGGAGUUCAGCGCGUCAUAGGGUGCCUGGCGGCCCUGAGCCGAUUCAUCUCGCGCCUCAACUAGCAGGGGCUCCCGUUCUACCGACUCCUGAAGAAGACCGACCGCUUCGUGUGGACCGCCGAGGCCCAGGAGGCGCUUGACCGGCUCAAGAACCUCCUGACGAAGGCUCCGGUCCUGGUACCGCAAACCGACGGGGAGCCACUCCUGCUCUACAUCGCAGUGACCACCCAGGUGGUCAGCGCGGCUCUGGUGGUGGAGCGAGAGGAGGAGGGACACGCCCUCAAGGUGCAGCGUCCGGUGUACUUCAUCAGUGAGGUCUUGUCCGAGUCCAAGGCGUGCUAUCCGCAGAUCCAGAAGGUCAUCUACGCCAUCCUCAUCACGAAGAGGAAGCUGCGCCACUACUUCACCUCCCAUCCCGUGAUAGUCAUCUCAUCAUUUCCUCUCGAUGACCUGAUCUGGAACCAGGACGCCACAGGACGGAUCGCAAAAUGGGCACUUGAGCUCAUGGAUCAGGGCAUCACCUACGCCCCCCGUACAGCCAUCAAGUCCCAGGUACUCGCCGACUUUGUUGCGGAGUGGACAGAGAUCCAGGCACCAUCAGCGCCAGAGAAGCAAGAUUACUGGGUGAUGUACUUCGACGGGUCGUUGAUGAAGGCCCACGCCGGAGCAGGUCUGGUCUUCGUCUCUCCUCUCGGUGUGCGCAUGAGGUACAUGAUCCGCCUCCAUUUUUCUGCAUCUAACAAUGUCGCCGAGUACGAGGCCCUCCUCAAUGGGCUUCGCAUCGCCAUCGAGCUAGGUAUCCGCUGGCUGGACAUCCGAGGCGACUCUCAGCUAGUCGUCGAACAAGUCAUGCAGGAGUGGAGCUGUCACGACCCCAAGAUGGCGGCGUACUGCGGCGAGGUCCGCAAACUUGAAGACAAGUUCGACGGACUAGAGCUCAACCAUGUCGCAAGGCGUUUCAACGAGGCCGCUGACGAACUGGCGAAGGUGGCAUCCGGUCGAAAGCCCGUCCCCGACGAUGUCUUUGUCAGCGACCAAUACAAGCCCUCGAUCCAUUACCAGGAAUCAGGAAGGGUCGGCGACGCGCCACCUGCCCCGGACUCGGGCGUCGUCCCGGGAGAGGUCGGCAACGCGCCACCUGUCCCGAACUCGAGCGCCGACCCAGGAAAGGUCGGCGACGCCCCACCUGUCCUGGAUUCGGAGGCCAACCCCUCUGACCCCGAGGUCAUGGAGAUCGACGCAAAUCCAGCAAAGGGGCCCGACCCCUCGCUUGACUGGAGAGCUCCAUACCUCGACUACCUCACCUGUGAGACACUCCUGACGAACAAGACGGAGGCACGUAGGAUUGCGCGUCGCGCUAAAUCCUUCGUCAUCAUCGACCAGGAACUCUACAAGCAGAGCCACACUGGCAUCCUCCAGCGCUGCAUCCCGAUCGAGCAGGGAAAGGCGCUGAUUCAGGACAUCCACACCGGAGCCUGCGGCCACCACGCUGUGCCAAGGACCCUAGUCGGGAACGCCUUCCGACAGGGCUUCUACUGGCCGACGGCGGUCGCCGACACCACUCACAUGGUACGCACUUGCGAAGGGUGCCAAUUCUUCACGCGCCAAACCCAUCUGCCUGCCCAGGCGCUCCAGACCAUCCCCAUCACGUGGCCCUUCGCAGUCUGGGGACUGGACCUCGUCAGGCCUUUCAAGAAGGCGCCCGGGGGCUUCACCCACCUGCUUGUCGCCGUCGACAAGUUCUCAAAGUGGAUCGAGGCGCGGCCCGUCACGCAGAUCAAAUCCGAGCUGGCGGUACAAUUCUUCACCGACAUCAUCCACCACUUCGGAGUCCCCAACUCCAUCAUCACGGACAACAGCACGCAGUUCAUCGGGAAGAAAUUCCUCCAAUUCUGCAACGACCACCACAUCCGAGUGGACUGGUCGGCCGUGGCACAUCCCCACACGAACGGGCAGGUCGAGCGAGCCAACGGCAUGAUACUCCAGGGUCUCAAGCCAUGGAUCUUCGAUCGCCUCAAAAAGUUCGGUGGCCGGUGGGUUGCGGAGCUCCCCGUAGUCCUAUGGAGUCUGAGGACGACCCCCAGUAGGGCGACUGGCUUAACCCCGUUCUUCAUGGUCUACGGGUCCGAGGCAAUCCUCCCCACCGACCCGGAGUACGGGUCGCCAAGGGUCAAGGCAUAUCACGAACAGGGGAACCAGGCGUCGCUCGAGGACGUGCAAGACCAGCUCGACGAAGCGCGCGAUGUGGCCCUGCUGCACUCGGCCAAAUACCAGCAGGCCUUACGACGAUACCACAACCGCAAGGUGCGAGGCCGAGCCUUCAACAUCGGCGACCUGGUGCUUCGUAUCAUCCAGGACAAUAGAGGCCGGCACAAGCUGACCCCUCCGUGGGAGGGCCCCUUCAUCAUCACGCAAGUACUACGGCCAGGCACGUACAAGCUGGCAACCCCUGAUGGGAAGAUCUUCAACAAUGCUUGGAACAUAGAGCAGCUAAGACGCUUCUAUCCUUAGUUUUUGUUUCCAAGUUUGUACAUACAUACUUCUGUAAAUUUUUAGUUCACGGAAAAAGGCAAUUUUGAGUUGACCUCGUUCGAGUCUCAUCCCGAGCUCAGGGAUAUCCGACCCUGGCCCUGCCUCAGGGUCGCAUAUCCCUCGGGGGCUAUCAGGGGCUUCGGCCCAAGUCACUUGACAUCUUCUCAAAACACCUUUUCUCCGAACCGACCCUCUUCCUAAACGUUUGGGCGUGGAAAGGAGAGAGUGCGCAAACGACGCCCAGGCAAGACUGAUCGGACUGCGAAAAACCUACGCCCCAGCAGCUACGGUGCCCUUGCUCAUCAGUGCUUACUGACGCGUCCGACCCAUGCUCUAAACUUCCCAAAUCUAAAAAAACAAGGAAGAGGAUCAAAAACCUUUUUCAACAAUUUCAUAAGAAAGGCCUCUACGGCCAUCACAGAAACAAGUUCAAGGUCAACUAACAUUUACAUUCUAGGGCAUCUAAGCCCGAUACAGCUAGCUCAUCCUUGGGUCCUCAGGCGGGAUGGCUUCAUCCUCCAGAAGCUUUGCCAGGGCCUCUGCUGGGUUGAGUACCGACGCAUCGAUCCCGUCCAGCUCGACCUCGGAGUAGCCGGAGGCGUAGCCCCCACUCAUCCCGGCGAAGUUGAUGCCGGAAUAAUGGGAGCCGAAGAUGCCGAAGGCCCUCCUCACGCCGACGUGGAGCGCCUCCAGAGCGAUCUCACGGGCCCGCCGGUACGUCCCAAGGACACGAGCUGCCAACGAACUUGUCCCCUCCCCCUGGACCACACCGAGGCCGUUGCAGACAACGCGGACUACGUCCCGCAGGUUGCCGUGCUUGGCGCGCUCCGCGUCAAGGACCUACCUCAGCCGGGCGAGUUCAUCUGUAAGGUCCGUCCACAGAAGUCCAAGUCAGAAACCAUCACAACACCACGAAAGCAAAGGGACAGAAGAGCCUUACCCUUGGACUCAGCCUUCGGCUCGCGCUCCCGGUCGAGUCCCUAGGCCACGGCGGUCUGAAGCCCUUGCACUUGCGCGUGGAGCUGACUGACCUCCGCCCCGAGCCCGGCCACCAUCGUCUUGGCCUCGACCUUCCGGGCUGCCUCGAAGUCCUGCUCCUGCCAAGCCUUCUGCCACUCGUGCUGGAUACGCUCGACGGUCUUCUGAAGGGCCUCAUAGUCCCCCUUUAGCCGUGCAAGCUCCUCGGCGUCAAGGCGGGCCUUCUUGGCAGCAGCCUAGAACUCCUCAAGAUUGAGGCGAGCCUUCUCGACGACAGCCUGGAACUUGUCCUCCGCCCGCCGCGCGUCCUCCCAUGCCGCCUGCUCGCGCCUGCGCAGGUUGUUGAUGACUUGCUGAGCGGCGGUGACCUGCGCGGUCAGCUCCCCGGUUUGCUGCCUCUCCGUGGAGAAGCGUUCCCAGAGCCCCCGCUCGAGCCGGAGGAAAUCGGACUUCCCCCGGCUGCAUUCCUGGAGGGCCUGCAAAACAGAUUACGCUCAGCAAAAGGAGAGCCAAGAGGAAAACAACAAUCGGGAAGAAUACCGCACCUGGCCACCGAGGAUGACGACACCGUCCAGCUCCCCCAACGCGGAAGACAAGGCAGCAUGGACAUUGGCAAGCCCGCCCUGCACCGCCUGCCACUUACCCCACUCCCCGACGUCGUCCAGCGUGAAGAGGGGUCUCUGCGGGUCAUCGCGGGACAUCCAGCGUAGAAUAGUCCCACUCCACGCCUUGGGAACGGGAUUAACCAAGACGAGGGUAGAGGUCGCUCCGGCCGACCCCGGCACUGCCGUCCCCGAUGCCGCCGCCGGGGCAGGCGCCACCGCUCUGGAUGCUGCCAGCCUCGUCGACGGCCCCGACACGUGCGCCGCCGCCCCUGUCGAAGUCGCCGCGGCCGUCGUCGACGCCGAUGUGCGUCCUGAUCCACCCGCCGUCGCCACUGUCUCCGUCGCGGUUGCCGAAGCGAGCGUUCCCGUUCCCACCACCACCGCGGCCUUCGUCGCAACUACCGAGGCUAGUGUCCCCGCCUCCGUCGUGGUCGCCGGGGUAGGCACCCCCACCUCUGCCGCCGCCAUCGUCCCUGUCGCGGUCGUGGGGACGGACUUUCCCUCCUCUGCCACUGCCGCCGUCUCCGUCGUGGUCGCUGGGGCAAUUGCCCCCACCCCCGCCACCGUCAUCUCCGCCGUCGCCGUCGGGGCCGUAGGCUCCACCGCCUCGUCCUCGAGGUCUAUCACCUCGCCGGUCGGAGGGACCCCAGGGGCAACACCCUACCCCGCAGGGUCGGCCGUGGAGGCGGAGGGCGGAGCAGGGGUCGAACCCUGCCCCGUGCCCAGCUGCGACGCCCUCCCUUCGGUUGCCACCGCGGGAGCCACCUCCGCGGUCUUCCCGGUGACACCGCCGCUCGCUGCCGGCGAGGCCGCGGCCUGCUCCGUGGAGGCGGACGAUGCCCACAACGCUUUCAUUGGCGCCAGCGGCGGGACGAAGUCCUGAGGGGCGGCACUGUGAAACAAUGAACAACAUCAGCAAAAAACAGCUCGAUGCCAGGGAAGGGAUAAGAUGCGCAAGGAAUUUCCACUUACACUCCCUCGGCGCGAGGGCGGCGGGCGCGUUUCGCCUCCGAGCCUGACGCCGACCUCGGGGCAUCUGGCAACGGCCGCUUGCCGCUGCUUCUUUGCUCCUGGGCCGCAGGCAGGGGGUCGGGGGUCAGCUCCGUCGACUCCCGAAGCGCGCCCCGCGCUGACCCCUGAGGCGCGGUCCCAGAGCUUUGCGGGGUCGAGUCCUAGGCAGGCGGUCCGCUAAGCUUGUCCCCCGCGGCCGUUUGCGAGCGCUGCUCCCGGAUGACGAGCACGCCCGGCCGGGGGGCCAGAAUGAUCUCCUCCUCCUCUUCCUCCUCCUCGUCUUCCUCCUCUUCCUCUUCAUCGUCAUCGUCAUCAUCGUCUAACACGACCUGGCCCUUCCACACCGUUGGAACUCCUUGGCGGCCUUCCUUUUCUUCCUCGCCGUCUCCUUGUCCUUGCGCUUCUUAUGCUUCUCAGCAAGGAGACGAUUCUGCUGCCGCCGCUCGGCGUCCUCUGGCACUAGCGCGUGCGAGUCGACGACAUUGGUCAUGUGGCCCUACAGACACGAAAGCUCCGCGUCAGAGCGACGAACCAAAAAAUGCAGGAAAAAGAAAUGAGAGCAUGAAUCCCUCCCCAGCUCGACGAAAUUCUCGUCCGGGCACAUCGGAGGGUGGCCAUGCACUGGGUAAUUGGCGUCCUUGUCGUCCAAUGCCUCCUGGACCCACUGUUGGAUCUCGGUGGCGGCGAGCGCACCCGUCGCAAGGAUGGUGCCCUCGGUCGGCGCGCCGGGAGCCAUCUCAGCGAGCGAGCGAACCUGGAGCAUCAACAGCGCCACCCUCCGAGUGUGGUACACCCCGAUAACUCCGGCCCCGGUCAGGCCUUUUCCCUUCAGGUACUCGAUGGCCUGAAGCAAACCGGCGAUCCGCUUCUUCUCCUUCUCCAUCGGGCCGUACGACCACAGCUCCGGCGCCGCUUCGAUGACGCGGCCGGUGAACACCGGCAAGGGGGAGUUAGAGUAGUUCUUCACAUAGAACCACUGCUGAUGCUACCCCUUGUGGGACGCCGCCGUCUUCAUCGCCAUGUAUUCCUUGGCGCGGGUAUGGCGGAGGUGGAUGCCGGUGCACCCUAUCGGCAUUGGGGUCGCCCGCUGCCGGCUCCCCUUCUUCUUGGCCUUCUGGUACAAGCUGACCACAAAGAAGUACUUCCAGAGCGAGAAGUUGGGCUCGAUGCCCAGGAACCCCUCACACAGCGUGACGAACGCCGCAAUGUGUUGGAUCCCAUUGGGAUUGAGGUGCUGCAGCUCAAGCCCGUAGUAGUGUAGCAGCCCGCGGAAGAAGAGGCUCGGCGGGGUCGCGAUCCCUCUAUCAUGGAAGUGGGCGAACGACACGACGUAGCCGGCGGGUGGACUCGGCACCUCUUCCAUCUCGGGGAACUGCCAUUCGCCCCUCUCGGUCCUCUCGCAGAGGAGGCCUUUCCUCGUAAGGCCGUCGGCGCACGAGGUACCGAAGCUUGAGCGUGCCCAGGAACCCAUCGCGGAGGGGGGAAAGGUCCAACGGCGGAGGGUGAGGAAAGCAGCUGCGCUAGGCGGAGGAAGGCGGACAGCGCGCGAGAAGGUGAAAAGACUUGGGAGCAGUUGCGGGCAGAACCAGCGAGGCGGACUCCCCGUCUUAUAGGAAGGCGCGUGGGAAGCAAAACGGGUGGCCUCAUCGCAAUAAAUGCGGCGCCAGGUACACCCCGUCACGCCCGCCUUUUUUGGAAGUCGUGCGCACGACCUGCAGCAGGAAAACAUCCCCUCCUCCAUUGUUUCGCGGGCUGGCAUCUUCCGCCACUUCUUCGCCUCCCGAGGAACGCGCGCACGCAACCUCCUCCACGACCGACCCAGGGCCUAUCAAUAGGUAAAAAAGGGAUACGGGACCGAAAACGCCCCUACGGCCCAUUACGAUCCAGCAGUUCGAAGGCCGGCCCACUACAGGUUCAACAGCCGCCCCAGGAUAACCCCGAGCGAGGGGUGAGAAGGGACGGGCCCGCUAGCGGCCAUCACCCGGGCGCACGACAACCUAGGGCGUCCCGACCUCACAUUCGACUCCGGACUGGCAUCAAAGUUCAUGGUUUUUCCCUGAAGAAAGGCAACGAGCCCCCGGGUCCGAGCGAAUGGAUUCGGGAACUAUAUGAACUGGCCGGCCGAAAUCUGGGGUACGCCACCAGCUUUGCCCAAGCCGGACCCCCCCCCCCCCCCCCCGCCCGAACGGGGACCGAGACCCCACUCGAAUCGACCCGUUUGCAGCUCAACGAGCACCACGGUUCGUCCGGCGAGGAUAGCAUGGCACGGCUCACCCCCUCCAUCUCAGCGAACGGAUGCUUGAGGGGCAAUGUUCAAAAGUCGAUCUAGCCUCCUGACCGGUCUCCUGCAGCGUGGGGGGGCUCAGGGGCAAGCCUCGCAACUAACGAUCACCCGUGUGGUCGCAAUUUCGGGUCUCAAGGAGGGAGUGCACUACGAAACGACGAAGGAUCAUCCUAUGCCAAGACAUCCACAAGACGCUCCGCCUGAUCAAUCUCUUCGGCCAAGCCGGGCAAACAACACACCCUAUCCCUGAUUAACUGCAGUUCGCCCAGCGAGUAGAGAUCCCUGACGAACGCCGAAAGCAGCCUCUGGAGGAGCGUCCUCGCUCCACCACAGGCUCAGGGGCUACUGUUGGGGGGAGAUAUUAAUGACCUCCUAAUGACCCUCAAAACAACAAUCAUGAAGCCCCAGGCCCACCUACGGUGAAGACGUUUGCCGCUGGCACAGCAUGAGCAGAGAGCGUCACGCUCCAUCUCGCCCGACCCAGGGCCCAAGGAUUGGGCACUCCCGAUCCCUCGAUGACAAAACUCCACCUCGCCUGACCCAUGGUCUUGGGGUCAGGAGCACCCGACCCCUCGCUGCAGGACUCCACCUCGUCCGACCCAGGGCGUAAAGGGUUGGACUCAUCUAGGUCCACAAGACAAGUAUCCGCCUCGGGCGUGGACUGGAGGAUAAGGGUGCGGAUCUCGUGGGUCCCCCGCCGAUCUCGCCAUAAAUACGCCGCGGCCCUGGCACAUAGAAAGGCGCCCGCGCCCCUCGACGUGACCCGCCACAGGUACCCAAGCACGACCGCCUAGCACAGGCUACAGUGGCCACGGCUCUCCCAGAUUCGCUACAGGGCACUCAUGGCUUGCGCCGCCCGGCAUUGAAGGGAGCUCCGCCCAUUCUCGCGCCCCGCGUAUCUGGCGACAAGGAUGCGACGUCCGUGUUCCAUGGGCUGCAAGCAGGACAACAGGGUUCAGCCAUCUUCCCCAACGUGCACAAUAGCCGCGACCGGACAUCAUCAUCACGCUGGGCGGUAGCAGAUCGUUGACAAGAUCCGAAGAUAGCCGCCCUCCUCCGGUGGCCUCGCUGACAUGAGCCGGAGGCCGGAGCAGGAGGUGGUGACCCGGGGACUUGGUCCUUCUCCUUCUCUUCGUACUUCACUUUACUUAGCUUAUCUCUUUUACUUCUCCUCACACCUGGCUCAUCUGUAACCCUGAGCUCUCCUUGCGCUAUAAAAGGAGAACCAGGGGCCCUGCGACAGGGGGACUCGGGAGCCAACAGAACACACACACUCUCCUCUAGAACAUCAGUGCACACCCAGGAGACUUGGGACCGGCUCCCUCUCUCACCCGUUUGUAACCCCUACUACAGACCCCGCGUGGGCAUAGGGCUUUCCUUGCCUGAACCAGUCUAACCCCGUGUCUUCCCACACCACGAUCUGAAGCCUAACGUGCAUAAAAGAAAUUUACUUGUCGUAGUCUUGAUCCGCUAAUCUUGACAACGACAACUAAUACUCCGCAAGACUUACCCGUCAAUUGGUAUCUAAUCCACCAACUCCUAGACAUGCAAGGCUUUUUGGCUGAGGGGUUUGUUUUUGCCAAAAGUUUCUAAAGUAGAUCCUUACUUUCAAGUUUUAACAUCAAGUUCUAAUUGAUUAACCAAUCUAGAUAAGCACUUAUUCUAAUCAAGCAUCAAUAUUAAUCAUCAACCUUUGUUCCUCUUCUUACUCGGUGCCGAAAGGCAAUCAAGCAAUCCCAAGCUGUAAGAAGUAGAUGAUUUGAAUUGAAUUUCUUAACCUUGCAAGUUGGACCUAAACACACGACAUACGCGUACCACACCGGGUUCACAUAUGUCACCCGCCCCCAUCGAUCCCCGGCACAUGUUCAGGUCCCACUUCCCUUGGAUACAAGGCUCCACUGGUCCCGGAACGACACCGUACCGAGGCUGCACUUGUACCCACAUGAUGCAUCAGGGGAACUCGGUUCCAGAGAGAGCGGGGAGUAUGUCCAUGCCCUGGUUCAAUCAGGUAUUAGGCUUACCGAUCCCAUACUCAGUAUGUGCUUGGUACUUUCAAACACUUUACCACAACUCUAGCACAUUUUGACCUUAGCAGUUUUCCUCUAAAUAGAAGGAGCAUCCACCAAUUCCAAAACAUAUUACCAAGCCCCGCCCGUCAACCUUAUGAUUCCAACAUAAGUAAACAGGCAACUCCUAUAGCUCGCGAGUGAUAGGAAAUCACUCAACUUUUACCAUGUCCCUAUUUAGCAUAGCAACUACUCGACUUAUCAUGCUAGUAUUCAACGUAUGGGUACUAGGAGCAUGCAACUAAGGUUUCAAGAAACUCCUAUGAACUUAAUGCACAAACAUAAGUAACAAAAGUAUUGCAUAAGGUUGGAAACCAAGGUUAUGCUUCGGGGCUUGCCUGUGGCUCUUCCAAAUCUUGGCUCAGGUCUUGUGUGGUCUCGAGCAGGUUCACCGCAGCAUACUAUUGUUCUUCAGCUUUCGAGAUCAACGCGUAGGUACCUUCAGCGAGAUUAGCUUCUACAAGAGAUGCACGUGCAUAAGUUUUCAAUUACUUGCUUUCAUGGUGUAGGUUGUAUUUCAUUCACAUUGUAAAAUCUUAGAGUGCAUUUGGACCACAUUCACCUAGACAAUAUUUUAAACCUUUCUUUCUUUUGGCCACAUUCACCUAGACAAGACUUUAACAAAUCUUUUCUUCGUAAAACAAGGUGGGUUGUGAAUAAAAUCUGGGUUUUACUUUGAUGGUGAUUGUGUACACAUAUAAGAUUCUAACAACAUAGAAUUCAUAAAAGAAAGGUGGUGUCAUGUUGGUACUGUUUGGCAAUCAUUUCAAAAGUUAUCCUGUUUCUGAAUAAAAACAUAAUUAAUCAUUUUGCUAGUCCACCAUUUCUAGUAGCAAUUUGUAUUAAUAAAUAAACUAGCUCUUAAAAAUAAACAAAUGUUUCUGGAAGCAUCAGUUAAGAUAUGAACAUGAAAUUUUUACAUAAGCUUUCCCCUACACAAGAUAUUUACUGCAAAAAUUUAGGAUGCAUUUGACAUCUACAGAAUUUGUUAAAAACCAAACAGUAUUAAAUUGUAGAACAUGAAGAUUGAUUUUUAACUAGAUUUCUAUCAUCAGUUUGGUUCCACAAAUUUUACAGAAGGGUUACCAACACUAAUAUAUGCUAUUGUAAAACUUCUCAGGAUUUUAUAUGCAUGAGAUCUGUUUAUUACAUAAAAAGGAGAUUAAACAACACGUAUUUUCUUAAGCAAUGAAAAACACAUACUUUACAGAAACAAGUAUUUUUACUAGUCAGACAGAUACUUUAUAGGCGGCGCUCGGCGGUGAGGAUUCAGGGGCGGCUUGAGGGCUUUGUCUUCGGUGAAGGCGGCGGCGGAGAUGGCUAGGGAAGGGCUCGGGAAGGUGGCGUGUGGCUCUGGUGGUGCUCUGGAGGGCUCGGGUGGCGGCGGUGUGGCUUGGAGGUAGGAGCUCGACGGCGGGUGUCAAAGGCGACACGGCAAGCUUCGGUGCGGGGGUGAAAGGGUGGUGCCGGCGAGCUGGGCGCUGCCCUUUUAUUGCAGCAAAGUGGCAAGAGGAUAAGGCAACGCCCAUGACAUGCUCAUGGCGCAUUGGGCAGGCCGGAGGCGGCCCGGCAUAGGCGGCAGGGUGGAGGGGGCACGCGUUGGCUGGCGGUGGCGUGAGCAGCUGCCGCGCGUGUGGCCUGCGUUCCGCGGUUGGCCGACGGAGAUGUGGCAUGGGGAGAGGGAGAUUGCGAGGGCGCGGAGUGGGCAGCGGCCGCGCUCGUCCCGUCUUGUCGCCGAUGGGGGUUGGCCAAGCGGCAGAGGCCAGCCAGGCAGCACGACAUGGCGACGUCGCACGCGCCGUGCGCGAUCACCGCGGAUCCGAGCGCACAUGGGCUUGCCAUGGUGCGCAAGGGCAACAGCUUUCAAGCAAAUUUUCUGCAAAAAUUUGAACUAAACUUUGAAAAAUUCAAAUGUAGAAGUUGGAGUUUGAACUAUGGACUACAAGUUCUACAAAAGCUGACAGUGAAAUUCACAGCACAUUUGGAGAUAAACUCGUGCAAACUUUGGUAGAACGUCGGGCAAGGUUGAAUUUGAAUUUGACCCAAAUUUGACUAAAUUUUGAUCUAAUUUUUGAGUGUCUUCCACUCAAAAUCAGAGAAAGUGCAAAUUAUGAAAGUUGCUUAGUUUGAAAAGUUAUACAACUUUUAUAUUGGCCAAAAGUUGAGUUCCUAUAUAAAAAUCUGUUUUUAUUUCUUACCCAAUUAAGUGCCUUUUAGGGGUGUUUUCAACACUUAGAAGAAUUUUGAAGUGUUUUUGAAUUUGACAUUUGGCAAGUUUGGUUUGUUUCUAAUCUCCUCCUUAAUUUCUCUUGUUUUGUUCUUUUAAACACUAGGGAUGUCACACUUUUUAGUCCCGGUUGGUAACACCAACCGGGACUAAACCUGGGACUAAAGGACCAUCUUUUGUCUCAAAAAUUUUAUUCCAGUUGGGCAUUGGAGAGAUAUGGUCCUUACCAACUGGGACUAAUGCUCAGUUUUCUAGCCGUGAGUGAGGGGAGUGUUCACCUUACUGAAAGCUGCAAGAGCCUGACCUUGUACCACUAUCCUUGCAUGUAUAAAAUGAGAUGCAUGAUAUGGAAUAUAGUUUGAUUAUAUUUUUCUUAGGUAGUUCAUCACGUCCCAUGUGGUUACGAAAGGUAACUAGUGAGGUAAGUGGGUCUUUACACAUGGUUAGAGAUUAAGUACAUGUCCACAAAUGCACAGUGUUGGUGUUUAAACCGGCAACCUACCAAGGAUACCCUCAGGUAGUAGAUUGAUCGGCAGGUCUUCGCCAAGACACGAACCCGAAGGUGAACAUGAGACACGACUUAAAUACGUUCAGGCUAUUGGAAUAACAUAGUACCCUACAUCAUAUGUGAUGUAUUUUCUUGUGUUAGUGUUAGAUGUGUUUUAAAGGGUCCCUGCCUCACCUUAUGUAUUCAAGGGUAGGAUUACAGGCCAAUUUUCAUGAAUCAUAGCCAAUUAAGAUGGGAAGAGCCCUAUCCUAAUUACAGACAAGUACUUUCCUAUUAUCUAACUAGUUCUGUCUCCUGAUUGGGCAGCUUCGCUGUGCUGCAUCGUCGCUUCCAUCAUGAGUACUUGACCCAGGCCAGCCUAUCCCUUCCCAGAGUAUACAUGCCAUGCAUCUUAGAAGACCCAUGGAUCCUAGGCCGUCACAGGGUAUUUAUUUCUCUCACUAUGUGCGAUCAAGGCAUGCAAGAUGAAAGUCAUGCUGACAAUGUUGUAAUCCACGCCCAGGGCAUCGAAGCUGUAUGUGGGGGAAAAACUAGAGCAGCUUGAUGCUCAAACUAGGCACAUCCUAGACUAGCCAUAUUUAAAAGUGAGAGCACAUGACGCGAUCGAGAUGGAUGCGACAAAGAUGUCUCAAAGGAUUGCAAAGAUACAUGCUCAGGAUAUGAUAUGUUACCUUACUUUCAUUGCAUUGUAAGUGUAUUGUGCUGGUCUCAAUUAUUACAGUCCUCCAACAAUGUAUACCUUAACACAUAUGAGUAGGCUAUUUUUCUUUUAUUUUUAAUUGUUUUUAGUUUUUUAUUUCAAUCUCUAUAUCUAACACUGUUACUAGAUUAUGACUUUGUUGUUCAUAAGUCCUUCAAUAUAUUCUUAAACCUGAAGCAACAAUAUGUGAAACCUAAAUCUAUGUUUUAGGCAAAGUACUUCAAUAUUUUUAUAGGAAUGUUUUUUUUUGUGUAGACGAUAUAAAUUAAUAGCAAUCUAUUUUUCUUAGAUCUAGCAUCAUAUUUGAAAUAACAUUUCUUCUUGUAAAAGAUACAUAUGAGUUUUCACCUAAUCUGUGUUGCCCAUAAGAUGGUUUCCAAAUAACAUGAAACUUUUCGAGUAGAUGCUAAAGACCCAUUUUACAUGGAACUAGUACCAUAGCACCUAUUAUAGAUUUGGAAUAAAUGUUCUCCCAAAAAAAUUAUAUUACAAUUGUUAGGUGAGUUGUUUACCCUUCAUAUGGUUUUUGAAAAUCUUAGAAUUUUUUAGUAGAUGAUAUAAAUAAAUAGUAAAUUACUUUGGUUAGAUCUGGCAUCAUAGCUGUUGUACAUUUUUCUAAUAAAAUCUUCUUGCAGAGCUAUAUUUGGUUUUUCAUAUAAGUUGUUUACCGGUAACAUGAUUUCAAAAAAUCAUGAAUUUUUUUAGUAUAUGCUAUAAGUUAAAAGAGAUCUAUUGUCCAUGGAUCUGGCAUCACAGCUGUUCUAGACUUCAAAUAAAAUUCUUCCAGAAAAUCUAUAUUUGAGUUUUUAGCUAAGUUGGGUAUUCUCCAUAUGGUUUCCAAUAAUCAAAUAAAAAUCACCUAAAUUCGGUCUGAAUUCUGAAAUCUAAAUAGUUGUAUUUUAAUUAUUUAUUUUGCAGUAUAGGUGCCUUGGUAUUAACUAUAUCAUGCAAAUUUAAUUUGUAUAUACAAAUAUCAAUGCAAAUUUGGAUAUACAAAUUUGGACAACUCAAAUUUGGCUCAUAGGGAAAAAACUAAAUGUUUAUGGAUUCAUAAUGCUUAGUUGAUUUAUAAAGGUUAAUGCAUAGUGGGUACGGUCUCAUCUUGACCGAAAUAGCUGUCAAAAAGCACCGCAAACAUUAAAGCCCAUAACUCUAGAGUGGAAAACAUAAGUCACUGUUUUUUAUGCUUCACUUAUUUAUUGAAAUUUUGUUGGCUUGACAAGCACAGGUAAAAGCAUAGUGAACAUGCGAACUGAGCAGCUAGCAGGUUUUCUUUGGCUGGAAUCUGCCCACCCGGUUUAGUCCUCGAUUCGGCAUGAGUGGUUGCAUUUUUUUUAUUUAUUUCAAGAUUUAAGUGGCAUUAUUCUUUCAGUGUUAGGCAAUGUGCCUAUCGAUAGCGAGACGCCUAUGUUGACUUCAUCAAUCUUGAUAUUUGCUAGCUCAGUCUCUCAGGAGUGCUCAUAGUCAUACGGGUAGGAUUGUAUGCAUGUGUGUAUUCAUAGUAGUGAGUAUGCGUGCAUGUAUAUGAGGGUCUUCCUCUGAUUGUGUUGAAAAAAGAACUAGUAAGUGUUUGAACUCACAUCUUAUGAAGAUAGGGUUCCAUUAGCUCAUAUCGCUUCAAGAAUUUUCAUUAUUACUGACAGUUCUUUCAAGUGGUCUACAGUGUCUAGAAUGUAAGUUGCCCAACAGUUUUUAGCAUGUUAAUUAGCUAACGGUGUUUGUAGUACAAUUUUACAUCACCCCUCACGGUUUUGAUGAACUACCAACAAUAUAAACCCCUACAACAUUAUCCCAC